AGGUUCUUGUUUUGGGAAAGAAAUACGGAUCUGGUGGUGCAUAAGUCAGCCUCGUAACAUCCUUUAGAAUUUAGAUGGUGAUGAAAAUCUUUUUGUUGUUACAUUUGAGUAUUCAGUUGGGGAGACAUUUAUCAUUUUUCCUUUUGACUUUUUUUUUGUAAUAAUUCGAAAAAUCUUAGAGUGGGUCAAAGUUUAAAAACCCCACACUCGUUUCCCUUGUUGAAGGAUUAUUACUGUUUUGUUUGGGCGGACCUUAUUUCAAUUGCAGAGCUUACAGAUUCUGAAUGAAAUCUUUUGAUAAAAUCAAAUGCGGAUCAGUUUGGGACUUGUGUUAUUUUAAGUGUGGUAUAUAAUAUUUUGCACUAACCAUCUUGUUUUCAUACUUAUCUUGAGGGUAUACAAAUUUUAUAUGCUUGACCCCUCUGUCUAUACAUAAUUAUGCUACACAUGAUGACAAAAUCCUAACCUGCAGCCGUCAGUUGUAUCUCUGUUUUGAUUGGUUGAUAUGGCAGUGUGAUUUAAACAGUACGUAGACAUGACUCCACGAGUCAUUGAAGGUUGGAUCAAUGUGGUUACUUUUUAUCCCCUAUUUUCUUACUAUUUGCUGCAUCUGUUGUUGCACAACAGUUUUCUUAGGUAAUGGAUGUGAAUCGUAGGAGUCAAGAUUCUUUCAAGGAGAAAUAUUAUCUAGUUACUCUCUUCAUCUCAAUGUAUGUGAUAUAGGUUGAGCUGACCUGGAGUUUAAGUUGUGUUUUCUAAUGAAAAGUCAUUCUUGGUUAUGGGUGAUUAACACAGACAAAUUAUUUCUGAUUGAACAAGUGAAUUUUUUUCUUAUAAAUUAAAGAAAAUUAUUAUAGAUAAAUAAAGGAUAUGUGUAUAUAUUAGGAAUGUACAACUCUGUUGAUUCAACCUGUAUGAAUAGGAAAAUUAAAACAAGGAUUAUGGAGUAGUUCAAACAAAAGCAGAGGAAACUCUGCAGAAGAGUUAAGUGUGUUGACCAAAUGGAAUUUCCUUGUUGUCAAUGGGAAUCUAAACAGAGCUUCGGAAGACUCGUAUCAAUUCCCUUAUAGAAAGCAAAUGGUUGAUCUGCAAUGGAGACAUUGAGUUGCCAUACGGAAAAAAGUAAGUCAAGAAUGUCCAUGUGUAGUGUACUAUUUUGUUCUUUAUUAAUUUCCUUACUGAAAGAGCCUAUCUAUCUAUAUAUAAUAGGAGAAGAAAAAAUGUCACAUAUAAUAACAGUAUUCAACCUCUUCUUCAAUUCUUGAAAACUUUUUUCACAAGCUUUAGACCAUUGAAACUUAACUGUUUUCUGAGUCAACUUGGUCAAAGGAGACGAGAUAGAUGAAAACCCCUCAACAAACUUUCUAUGGUAGUCAGUCAAAUCUAAAAAAUUCCUUAUAUCAGUUGGAGACGUAGGUCUAGGACAACUUUGAACUGCUUCUAUCAUUUGGGUAUCAACUCUAAUCCCAUUACCAAAAAACUAUGUGGCCCAAGAAUGCCACAAAUUUAAGCCAAAACUCACACUUGAAGAACUUGACAUAUAACUCUUUAUCUUUCAAAGUCUAAAAGACUAUUAUGAGUUUACUAGCAUGAUCUUCUUUAUUCCUUAAAUAAAUUAGUAUGUCAUCAAUAAAGACAACAACAAACAUAAAUAAAUAAGGUUUGGAGACUCUAUUCAUAAGAUCCAUGAAUACUGCAGGCGCAUUGGUCAACCCAAAUGACAUGACAAAAAACUCAUGAUGUCCAUAAUUGAUUCUAAAAGAUGUCUUUGGAAUGUCACAUUUCCUAACUUUCAACUGAUGGUAGCCUGAUCUAAGAUCAAUUUUCGAAAAGCAGGAAACACCCUGAAGCUGAUCGAAAAGAUCACCUAUCCUUGGAAGAGAAUAUUUAUUCCUAAUGAUAACCUUAUUCAAUUGACGGUAAUCUAUGCACAUCCUAAGGGAACUAUCACUCUUUCUCAUAAACAAGACUGGAGAGCCUCAAGGUGAGACAUUUGGUCGAAUGAAACCCUUAUCUAACAGAUCUUUCAACUCUUUCAAUUCUGCUGGAGCCAUUUUAUAUGAAGGAAUAGAGAUAGGACAAGUAUCUAGAAGAAGAUCUAUGUCAAAGUCUAUCUCUCUUAGGAGGCACUUCAAGAUGAUCAUCUGAAAAGACUUUUGGGAACUUUUUUACUACUGGAACUGACUGAAUAAGAGGUAUCUCAAUACUAGAAUUAUUAAUUCGGACUAAGUGAUAGACAUACUCCUUAUAAACUAAUUUUCUCGCCUUAAGGUACGAAAUAAAACGAUCCUUAGGCACUGUUGAAUUGGUUUUCCACACUAAGACUGACUCAUUUGAAAUCUGAAACAUGACUACACAAUCAAUUGAGGCAUAACAUACAUGACGCCAAUCCAUACCAAGAAUGGUUACAAGCAAAUGAAAAUAAGAGAGAUAAACGUAAUAUUAUAAAACAUAGGAGAGGUGAGUGUUAUUAAGUAAAACCUGAAGGGAGAUCUCUGAAAUUAUCCCUUAAUAUUAUUAAAAGUCAUAUGACCAAAGGAGUUCCUAAAAUAUGAUAAAGGCACAAUAGUCUGGUGGACCCUUGUACUUGUAUCAGAUUGUAUUAUGGACCUUUCUACUUAGCUUUUUGUCUUCUGGAUCUUUAUACUCAACAUAACACAAUAUAUUAAACCCCACUGACCAUUUAUCAUCCUUAUGUGACAUUAAUAUAGAUGAGUUGGCAAGAGAGUGUAGUCACACGCCUGCAAAGGCAAGUGAACAUGAUAUUUGAAAUUUCAACUUUUACUUUUAAGUUAUUAAAAUUAUUUUUUUAAAAAAAUAAAUUUAAAAAGAAAAAAAACUCUAUCUUCUUCCCUACACUACCUCCAUCUUCUUCCCCACACUACUUUUUUUCCAGCCACCCCAACCCCAACCUAUUUUUCUUUCUUAUCCACACCCUAUCGUUAUUUAUCUUCAUUUUUCUUUCAACUUCUUUUUGUUUUUCUUUUUUUUGUUACCCUAAAAAAAAAUGAAAUUGGGCAAAAAAAUUUGAACAUAAUAAGCAAAGAAAAAUAAAAAAAAUUAGUGGAGUAGUUGAUAUCUCUAAUGAAUAACUUGACCUCUUUUGGUGUAGAUAAUUCUAGAGAGAGAGAGAGACCAGAAUGUAGAUACUUUAUGGACUUGUAUAGUAAUUUUUAUUUACUAGAAAAUAGUAUAAUUAAUAGGUUGACUCUCAUUUGUAAUCACUCAACUUGUAAAGCAACCUUCCAAGCUUAAUACAAUUCCUUUUUGAAAACUUUUUUUUUUUAGUUUUUCUUUACAUUCUCUUAGCGAUCUAACUUUAAAAGGCUUAUUUGAGUUUACAAUAACAUGAAAGAGUCGUGAGUAAGUUAUCAAAUGUUGCAUUGAUCAAUAGUUAGACUCUAAAUCCGUGACACAAAAGUCUGUUUAUAUGCAAAAAUGUUAUUUGGAUUUGGAGAGACAUUUUUAAUUUGAAAAUUAAUACUUGUUAUAAAUAAUUGAGUCCUAUGGACAAGUGUAUGCGAUUUUAGUUGGUGUAUGUCCAUAUAACUUGUGUUCGUUAGUUUCCUUUUAAAAAAUAAAAAUUAAUGUAUGAAGAAUGUAUAAUAAUCGAUAAAAGUGCUUCAAUUUUCUUUCUUAAAAAUUCAAUGAAAUUAAAUAACUCCAUGUAUUUUUGUUUUUUUUCAUAUCAUUAGGGUUAUCUUGAUUUAGCACAAAUAUCCGCUAAUUAUUAAUUUAACACAAUAUGGAAUGAUUAAAAAAAACAGUCAAUUUCAAUAUGAAAAAGAAUAGCUUGUUUAUUGCUAAUAUACACUAUUCGAAUGGGGCCUACAUGGUAUGACUUCGUAAUAAUUGGGCUUUACUAUGAGUACGAAACAGGGAGUAAGAAAAAAAAACUCUUUUAUAAAAUUCGGAAUCAAAAGAAAAAACCCCCACAAAUGGUGAAAAUAGAAAAAAGUACAAAAAUACAACAAUGAUUAAAUAUAUAUAUAUAUAUAUAUAUAUAUAUAUAAAAGAAAAUUCUAGACUCGCCUACGUGGUACCACCAUAAAUCAUAAUUUUCUUUAAAUUUAUUUUAUUUCUAAAACUAGCCUUCCCUUUUCAUUAAAAGUUUCAAAUUUUAUGAAAAGUUGCGACUUUUAUGAAGAAUUGCGACUUUUAUGAAAAUUUGUGAUUUUUAUGAAAAAUUGUGACUUUUAUGAAAUGUUGUGACCUUUUUGAAGGGUUAUACCUUUUCAAAAGAGUUGUGACCUUUCUAAUAAGACACAAUAAGCAUUUGUUCACACUACCUUUUGUUGUCUAUAAAUAGAGGAAUUUCCUCUAACUUAAAACAACGAAAAUUUUAAACUUCUUCUUCUUCUGGAAACUGAAAUAAUUGUGUCAUUUGCUCCUAUUAAAUGACUCCCUCACUCCAUUAUUUUUGUAUCAAUACACUGGUGAAUAUAACUGAUCUAUCAUGAGAAAAUAGAUUCCUUAAAUCUCAGGCAGUAGGGAGGAUUAAUCUCCUUAAGGGGAUAAUGUGCAUUUAGUGGGCUAGAUUUAUUCCAUUCUGUUUCACUCUAUUGUUACAGAUCCCGAAUAUACAUUUUUUUUGUAGGUAUUAAUUUAUGCUUAUAUUAUUAAUUGUUACUUUUGAGUACAUGCUUUAGGUUUUUUUAAUGUUUCUGCAAAAUUAUUGUUAUAAGUAUUUGUUAGUACAAUUAAAUAACAAACGUUACUUGAGUAUUCAAGCAAAUUUUCUCUAUUAGAAUUGUUACAAGAAAAAAAAGAGCUCUUACAAAUCUCUAAUUUCAUCAACGACUUCAUUUUUUCACAUACAAGGAUAACAUUUUGUUUUCUUUAGAGGAAAAAGACAUAAGUACCCCCUAACCUAUGCCCAAAAUCUCAUAGACGCACAUAUACUAUACUAAGGUCCUAUUAUCCCAUGAACUUAUUUUAUAAAUAAUUUUCUACCCUUUUUAGCCUAUGUGGCAUUAUCUUUUGGACCUAACGCGUGUUGACAUAUUUUUUCAAGCUACUAUCACGUAGGCUGAAAAGGCGUAGAAAAUUAUUUAUAAAAUAAGUUCGGUGUAAUAGGACCUUAGUAUAUUAAAAGCGUGUCUUUUGAAUUUCGAGCAUAAUUUGGGGGUACUUGUGCAAUUUUCCUUCUUUAAAAAAAUCCUUUAAGAGUUAAUAACUUUGCAUGAACAUUUUAUUUUUAUUUUUAUGUUGUUGUUAUCUAUUUUUUCACUAAAUUUUAUCAGUGGAUAUUAUGAGUACUUUAAAAAUUGAAAGUUGAUUGAAGUGUUAGUCUAUUUUUGAGGUAUGUUAUUUCAAAACAAGAGAACUUUUUUGGUCAGAGUGAUUUGUUAUCAUCAUUGGAUAUCUCAUAGUUUAUUCCUUUUGAUGUACUUUUUCCGUUGUUUUGUUAUCUCGUUAAAAUUGUAUUGAUUAUUUUUUAUUUUGUAUGUAUAUGAUCUCGCUUGGACAAAGUUUUCGUCCGUUUAAUUUUUGUCUUUUUUUUCCCUUCUCAUUUAGUUCUUCUAAAUAUUUUUGGUGUGAGUUAUGACUAUUUUUAGCAAGUUUGAUUUGCAGAAUAUGAAACAAAACCUGCUCUAAAUACAAGUAAUAUUUUUAGCUAUAUAAGAUAUGUCUAUUAACAUAGAUUUGUUGUCCUUUAUAUCCCAAGUCAUUGAUGAGCAUCUGAGUUAUUUAGGUUAGACUCACUUUUAAUUUUUUAAUGUUCGAGAAUAUUUCUCUACCAUGAGCCUAGAAUCCUACAUUUUGAUCUACUCGUACUUUCAUAAUGCAAAAAUUAUACAUACAUAUUUCUAAAAAAAUCGUAAAGUUGCAUCAAUGAAGUAUCUUCUAGAAGGGCCUUCAAAGUAGCAAUUUAAUGAAGAAUAAAUUUCUAAAAGGGUUAGCAAUAUUAUUGUGCUGUUGUUUCAAAUUUAUUUUUCUCCUUCUUUGAAUUUUGCUAGAGUAACAAAGUAGCAAUAACAAAAAGUGGUAAAUAUUUAACCUCGGACAAGUAGAUUGUCUCUAAAAAAAAAAUCUAUUUAUGUUGUGUGGUGUACAUUUUUAACGGUCUUAAUCUAUUUAUAACUGAUAUUGAUUAUUGAAAUUUUUGCAUAUUUUUUUAAUCAGAAGGAGUUAAUCUAACUCUAAAAUUACGAGAUUCCAUAUUUUUCAUGUACAAAAAAAUAGAAAAAGUAUUUUUAAUCGUUACAAUAAAAACAUUACUCGAUUUUAACAAGACAAUUAUAUCAUCAAACAUAUAUUAAGAUGAAUUAUGUAAAAGAUAAAAAAUAAUUAGAUAACAAGAUAUUUUUAAUCAUUCAUUAUAUUUUUUCAAUUCUUGAGAUAUGUGAUAAUUCGUUAGAAUAUUCUUAAAGCCUACUAAAAUUUAUCUUUUUUUUCCUUAUAACAUUUGAUUAUUGGAAAGGUUGUUCAAAAGUUUAGAAAGAUUAUCUAUACCCGCACAAAGUGCGGAUAGAUUACCUAAUAAAUAAUAAAGAAGAAAACAUAAAAUUUCACGAACUUAGCAGCAAAAUUUACUGUCUUUUUAACAUUACGAGUAAUUAUUUACCCCACAAUCUUUUUUCAAGUGAAUUAAAAUACACUCAAUUCGCUGACAUUACAAGUCAAAAAAGUAACAAUGCGUUUAAACCAAAAAUUAAAGAGAAAAAAAUAAGCGGGUCCCAAUUAUUUUCUUUUCUUUAUCUUCUUCAUAACCUACCACCCCGGCCCUUAGUACCACCAACCCCAACCCCAACUCCCGCCGCUUCAUCUUCCUCACAUCCAAUCCACCCCACCCGUCCUCAACCACCACUUGCACCACCCCUUUCUUCUUCUUUGAACCCUCACUCCCACCUUCUUUUUUUCUAUUCAAAUCUUAGUGUCUCACACUUUUCUUCUUCUUCUUCUUUGUUGAUAUUUUCAUCUUUUUUUUCCUUCUUCAAGACGCCCUUUCCAUUAGUAAAACUUAAAAAAGUGUGAUGAACACCUAUUUGUUCUUGCUUCAAAUAAAUUAAUAUUUAUGACAAGAAUUGAAUGUGCGCGGAUAAUUUUAUUAGUUAUAAAUAAUUUCAAAAUUAUUUUAAAUACAUUUUGACCAACCUUUUAGAUAGUAUUUUUUCAUUUAAAUAGUAAUAGUAGUUUUUUAUAUAGGUUUUGAAUUCUUAUGUUUUAAAUUUAAAAUAUUAUUUUAUUUUAAUUUGAUUUAAUUUCAAAUAUUAGUCAAAUAAACAUUAAAGAACUCAAAUAUAACGAGUAUUUGAAACGAAGGGAGUAGUGAAUUACCUCCAUUCUUUUGGGGCUUAAAAAAUUAUUUUGCCUUUAGCACUUAACAAUCAGUUGUUAGAGUCUGGUUCUCUUCUUUACUGCUUAUAUCUUUGAUGUCUCAGGGCCUUUUGUAUGUUUUUCUUCUAAAUUGUUACGAUUUUUUCUUCAAUUUCUCAGAUACGGCUACAAAUUUAUAUCAAUUUACAGAAAAAGGCAUCAAUUUGUUUAAUUAAAAGGGUACAAUUAUAUGUCAUAAAUUAGGAAGAUGAUAACAAGUUUCCGACAGAGGUUUGGAAUAAUGGAAAAGGUCAAGUCUUUACAAUAAUAAAUAACAGUAUUAAAAAAUGUAAUGACUUUAGUUUUUUCUGCCUUUUUGUAGUGCAAGUCUUGUUGUCUGUUUAAUAAUGAAAAAAUUAACAUUUUAUGGAAAAUGAUAAGAAGUUCCUCAUAAAUUUUAGGAAUAGUGAAAAUGGUAAAGUCUUGUUCUUUAAUAUUAAACUAGAAAUUUUGUCUUUGUCUUUUCAGUCUUUUUGACCAAAUUAUGCAUUCACAUAUUAAGCAGCAAAAGUGAUAUGUUUUCUCAUCAUAUACCUAAAGCUGAGAAGUUUCCUGUUAGUCCUUAACAAUAUUCUUCAACAAUGUCUCAUGCUUCUUCUUCCAAAAUUUGCUAGUAUGAUGUCUUUUUGAGUUUUAGAUUUGAAGAAGAUACACGUAGAAACUUUGUGAGUCAUCUCUAUAAUUCUUUCGAAUUAAGAGGAAUCCGCACUUUUAAAGAUGAAGAGCGACUAGAACCGGGAAAAUCAAUUUCUGAUGAACUUUUGAAAGCCAUACAAGAGUCUAAAUUUGCUAUAGUGAUAUUUUCCAAAAGCUAUGCAUCGUCAAGAUGGUGUUUAAAGGAGCUUGCACACAUCAUAAAGUGUAAAAAGGAAUUGGAGCAGAUUUUCAUUCCAGUUUUCUAUGAUGUGAGUGUGAGCCAUCAACAUCUCCCUUUUGCUGAUUCAUUUUUACAACAUAAGAAAAAAAUGCAAAGAUGAUAUGGAGCAGGUUCAAAGAUGGAGGGGUGCAUUUGCGGAGGCUGGGAAAAUAUCAGGGUAUCAUUUACGAAAUUUCAACUAAGCUUUCUUCUUCUUCUGUUUGGGUUUCUCUUUAUCAAGAGCAUAAAAGGACCAAACUUUUAGCUGUAAUUCCACAUGAUCAUCAUCUAUACUUUUACCCUAAAAAAAGGACCAAACUUUUAGCUAUAUGGUUAUUUGAUGAUGUAAUUAGAUUUUAACAUGUUAUAAUUCAUAAUAGUUGGUUUAAGCUACUUUAUGACAUCGACAAGUCUUUCCUUUUCUAUUAUUUACUCUGAGAGUAUUUUCACUGUAAUGUAGGGAUGAGGCUGAGUGCAUCAAUAAGUUAGUUGAUAACAUAUUUCCUAAGUCACUUCAAAUUAUUUCACCUUUCCCGGAAAGUUUAGUGGUUAUAAAUCUCAGGUUGAGAAAGUAACCUCAUUAUUAGAUUAUGGAAUCAAAUGAUGUUCGCUCUAUCGGAAUUUGGGUAUGGGCGGCAUUGGCAAGACAUAAAUUGCAAAUGUUCUACAUCAAAGAUACCGCCAUUAAUUUGAAGCUGAUUGUUUUCUUGGUGAUGUCAGAAAACUUCAUCAGAAAAAUGGACUAACAUGGCUACAAAAAGUAGUCAUUCACAAGCUCUUGGGUGAAAAAUCGACUCUAACUAGUGAGCAUGAAGGGGUGAAUAUUUUAAAUAAUAUACUUCGCUGGAAGAAAGUUUUGUUCAUCAUCGAUGAUUUAAACCAUCAAGAACAGUUGGAAUUUUUGGUUGGAGGGACAAAGUGGUUUGUUAUGGGUAGCAAAAUUAUUUUAACAGCAAGAGACAAGCACCUGUUAAUCAGUCACGUUGGGGAUAACGUGUAACAACUAUUAUAGGAGGAUGAAACACUUGAAUUGUUAAGUAGGCAUGCUUUUAGAGAAAAAUCACCAAAAGAAGAUUUUAUGAAAUUUUCAAGACAAGUGGUGAACCAUGCUGGUGGGCUCCCUUUAGCUCUUAAAAUUUUGGGUUCUUCAUUUUAUGGACGAGACAUAAAGCACUCGAUAUACAUAAUUGAUCGGCUGAAGAGAAUCCCUCACAAGGAUAUUCUAGGAACGCUUGUGCUUAGUUUUGAUGGCCUGGGCAAAGAUGAGAAGGAAUUAUUUCUAGAUAUUGUAUUUCUGGAUAUUGCAUGCUUGACUAGAUACGAUUUUCAUCUUUGUGUGGAACUAGUACUUAGAGACGUGGGUCAGGAUUUUCUAAUAGAUUACCUUAUUGAAAAAUCUCUGUUAUCCAUCAACAUAAGUAACAGUAUGGUGAUGCAUAAUAUGAUAAGAGAAAUGGGUGAAAAUGUCAUACGGGAAGAGUAUGAUAACAGCAGAAUAUGGCUUUCCGAGGAGGUUUGUGACCUUUUUAAAGAAAACUUGGUAAGCAAUAUUUAGCGUUCGUAAUAAUUUCAUAUGCUCUUAAUUCUGUUUUUUUUUUGUUUCAUUUUUAUUUGUUAGCAAUUAAAUACAUAAGUUUCAUUCUUUACAAAUAACUGAAAAGGUGGAAAGCCUAUCUAUACCAAAUGAUUACUAUUUUGAAAAUGAUUUUCUCAAUUAUAGCAAUAUUUUCAAGAGGAUACAAAGCUUAAAAAUACUCAUAGUUGGUGGUGGAACUUUUAGCUCGAACUGAGCUAUCACUUAUCUUCCCUCGAGCUUGCGGCUUAUAAGUUGGCCGAGGUAUCCUUCAAUUUCAUUGCCAGAGAGCUUUGAACCAUCACAGCUCCUGGUGCUUUGUUUACAUAGAAGUUGGCUUGUUGAACUUUGGCCAACAUCAAAGGUAUACUCUCUAUCUCAAUAUCUAAUUUCUUUGAUGUAAAUAAUAAUUGCUUUGAUAUAUAUAAUUAACAUAAACAUUUUUAAUUUAUUGUGCACUCACUUGAAAGUGAAAACUUAAAACUUGUAAAUCCAAUGUACAAAGACUUAAAUCAAACACAUCAUCUCUCCAGCAGCUCAUACUUUAAUCUUUCAUUUCCCGAUUAAAUCUUCAAAUUUAUUAGGUGGAAUGGAAAUCCAAUGCCCCUCCUUGUGUCCCAUCUUUAAAUACUGCUUGUUAUAAAAAUAGGCUCCUUUUGUUUAUUAUGUAAGCCAAUUGAAAUUUUCCCUUUGGUAAGCCCAAUCUUGUAGUCCCUAUGCUUUUCAUGAUAAUGUAAUACAAAGUUAUGUAUCUUUGCUCAAUUUGCUUAGUACAUAUUAGUACUAGUUUGUGAUGUUGUGUUUCGUAGAAACAAUAGUUGAUGCAUGUUGUUACAACUUUUGAUAUAUGUUUUCAAUGUAUAGUGAAUAAUUUGCAGUUUUAUAAGUAUACUUCGAUAUGUUACAUUUGAAUGUGGUAUCACAAGUGAAAACUAAAAAUUAUGAUAAUCCUAGAAUAAAUGGAAUAAGUGUAUAUGAGGUACUAUGAGUGAACUCAUAAUCAUGACAAUCCAAUAGAGUAAUGUUCAAAUGAGUUACCAUGAGUAAUAACUAGAAACCAUGGAAAUUCUAGAAAGAACUUAUCCAACAAGAUAGUCAAGGGGUCUAAAACAUAAGCUUAAAAAAAAGGGAAUGUUUCUCUCUCGGUGCAAGUUAACUUAAAUUGCGCCAACCAUGGGUAGGAGGGUUUCGUAUUUCCACACAGAAGGCGAUCAUGGCAAAAGAGAUGCAGAGCAUGAAGGGAAACACGCAGAAAAGGAGGAUAUUGGCUCUAAUGGAAGCUACAAAAUGUCGAUUUAGGGCAACAAUUAGCAGAAUCAAGUAUGGAAGUUGGGGGAACACAAUGCACUAUCAAUUCAAAGAAUAAGAGAGCUGAUUUAAGUCAGGAACUAGAGGCAUUCACUGUUGGAAUAGAAAUUGGGGAACCUACUGAUGCCACUACGAAAGGAACGACGCUAGGUAAAUAGAAAGCAUUAUGGAAGCAACAAUCUGAGGCACAAAUCAUUUGGAAGGAGUUACAAACUCCACCAAGUGCUCACCAAAUGGGUACAUCAAACAGUACCAAGUAAUCAUGGGUAGAUGAGGUUGAAGAAGAGGCUCAUUCUAAAGCACAGAAGAGGUCAAUUUGGGAUGACUUUGACAUUGCUAAGAUUUCUAAUGCAAGAUAUAAGUUGGAAUAUGUGGCUCCAUUGAAAGUAAGGGAAAAAUUGGUGGUGGAGAUUGACAUAGAGGAUAUCAAAACAGAAAUCGAUUUUCGGAGUAAGGUUGUGGUAUGUUAUGUUUGUUAGAAUGAUGAAAAUCUAAAUAAUUGAAUAUAUUAAUGUAAUAAGAUAGUGAUACAAAUUAGCAUGAUCACAUAGAUUUGUUGUAGAAUCAAAGGAAUAAAUAUUUGAUAGAAUGGCGGAUUUGGAGGGAUUGAAUAACAGAUUUGUAGAGAUAGAAUAGCUGAUAUUUAGGGAUAGCAAUGACAGAUCUUUAGGGAUUUGUAAUAUUUAUUCUCUUUAUAUAAUGGAAAGACUCAUACUUUGAGAGGCGGCAUUCAACAAAACUGACAUGGUAUCAGAGCCUUUUGCAGUGCUUUGAUUCUUAGUGUCUUUCAUCUGUUGUUCCUUCCAGAUUUUUUUGGAAGUUUUGGUUCUGCUUACUGUUAGUCAAAAGUUAGUCCUAAGUAUCUUGGAAGUUAAGGCCUCUUAGAAUCUUAGUCUUGGUCAUUCUGGUUAUUUUGCAUGAUUGCAUUUUUAUCUUCCUUAGCUUGUUAAAAACAUGUCGUCAUAUCAGUUCGAGUCCUUCCAUGUUUGUUUCACGGGAAAAAAUUACUCCGUCUGGGAAUCUUAAUUCUAACUGUUGAAUGCCUUGAAUCGAACCCGUUACAACAAAAAGAACGGGGGUCUCGCUGUUAGGGCCCAAGCCUGUUAGAGCAUAGCUUAGCACUAUAUAUAGACGCUACGGCAAACCUUAUUCUGAAUUUUGUUCUUGCCUCUCCAUAAUAAAACUGCUCCCCCUCCUCCCGUCGUAGCCAAUUUAUUGGUGAACUACGUAAAUCUGUUGUCUUGUUUUUCGCGUUUAUAUUUUCUCGUAUUAUCUCAAAUUCCGCAUAACAUUAACUAUUUAUCAUCGGAAAAGAAUUAUGGGGCCAUAUAGAUGGAAGCGAUCCUACUCCUACCGAUCCUAAAAAGCUUGGUCAAUGGAAGGUUAAAGAUGCUCAAGUGAUGACAUGGAUUUUAGGGUCAACUGACCCUCUUAUUGUUCUUAAUCUCAUGCCACACAAGACAGCAAAGGCCAUGUGGAAUUAUUUACGAAAGGUUUACAACCAAUACCAUAGCGCAAGACGCUUUCAGUUGGAACAUGAAAUUGCUAUGUAUUCACUAGGAGGUCUCUCCAUUCAAGAUUAUUUCUCUGAAUUUCAGAACUUAUGGGCUGAAUUUACCGAUAUCCUUUAUGCUAAAAUAUCUUCUGAAUCUCUCUCCAUCAUUCAAGGAGUUCAUGAACAAAGCAAGCGAGAUCAAUUUUUGAUGAAAUUACGAUUUGACUUUGAAAGUGUUCACUCCAACUUGAUGAGUUGUGAUCUAUCUACCUCGUUGGAUAUCUGUUUUAGGGAAUUACUUUGUGAGGAGCAGCGUCUCAUCAUACAAAAUGUUUUUCAUCAAGGAAAUGUUGUCACUAUUGCAUUUGAAGCUCAAGGGAAAGGAAAUGACGUGGAUAUGACUAGAACUCAACGCUACAGUUGCAAGAAAUAUGUUCAUAUUGCUCGCAAUUGUGGUAAGAAGUUCUGUAAUUAUUGUAAACAACAAGGACACAUUAUCAAAGAGUGUCCCACACGUCCUCAAAAUCGUAGGACAAAGGAUUUCCAAGUUGGGAUAAAUGAUUCCACUACAGAUAGAUCAUCUUCGGUAGGAUAAGUUAUUACUCCUUAAUUGGUACAACAAAUGAUCUUGUCAGCAUUUUCAACUUUGGGACUUCAAGGUAAUGAGGUAAUAUCUAAAUUUUGGCUUGUUAAAUUUGGCGCUUCCAACCAUAUGACCAACUCAAUUGAUAUACUCAAAAACUUUCAUGAGUAUAAUGGUCCAACACAAAUUCAGGUUGGCAAUGGUAGUUAUUUACACAUUACCAAGGUUGGGGAUAUUACUAAAAAUUUCAAGAAGCUCUCCACUAGUCUUAUUUCGGUUGGCCAAUUUGUAGAUAACAAUUGUAAUGUGAAAUUUUCUCGUAAUGGUUGCAUUGUGCAGGAUCAGGUGUUAGGGACGAUAAUCGCGAAGGGGCUUAAAGUUGGAAGAUUGUUUCCUAUACACUUUGCUAUUCCCUGUUCUGGAUUUUGCUUCCACCACUACUAGGAAUAAGGUUUGGCAUAAACGUCUAGGACAUCCAAAUUCUAUUGUGUUGUCUCAUUUUUGCAAUUUUGGUUUAUUGGAAAAUAAAAAUCAAUUUCCAGUUGCUUCCUUUGAUUGUUCUACUUUUAAAUCAGGCAAAAGUAAAACUCUUCAUCUUCCAGAUUUUGGUAGUCGUGCUGCAAAGUGUUUUGAUGCCAUUCAUGAGGAUGUUUGGGAAAUUUCACCAGUAACUUCACAUGCUCAUUUCAAGUAUUUUGUGACAUUUAUAGAUGACCAUAGUCGAUUUACAUGGGUGUAUUUUCUUAGAUCUAAAUCUGAUGUGUUUUCCAUAUUCAAGAAGUUUUUGAAUUACGUUGAGACUCAAUUUUCCACAUGCAUCAAAAUAUUAAGAUCUGAUUCUGAUUCUAGAAGUUUUUGAAUAUAUGUCUCAUGAAUUCAAUAAUUUGUUGCUUAAGAAAGGAAUUGUAUCACAACGCUCUUGGUCAUACACGCCACAACAAAAUAGGGUUGCUGAGCGUAAAAACCGUCAUCUUUUGGAUGUCACUCGUACUUUAUUGAUUGAGUCCUCUGUUCCAUCUAAAUAUUAGGUUGAAGUUGUGUCUACUGCUGUCUAUUUGAUUAAUAGACUUCCAUCUAAAGUGUUAAACCUUGAGUCUUCAUAUUAUCAUCUUUUUCACAAGCAUCCUAGCUAUCAUAGUUUUCAUACAUUUGGUUGUGUUUGUUUUGUGCACCUGCCUCCUUCUCAACGCAAUAAACUCUCUGUUGAGUCUAUUAAAUGUGCUUAAAUGGGCUAUAGUACAUCCCAGAAAGGAUUUAUUUGUUACGAUUCAAGUUCUAACAAAUUUCAUGUUUCUAUGAAUGUUAUUUUCUUUGAGAAUCAGUAUUUCUUUCCUAAUCAUAUUCAGUCAUCUUCUUUUUCUCCUCUUCUUCCUAAUUUUUAGGAUUUGUCAUUGUCUUCUAAGCGGUUCAAACCAGAUUUACGUAUGAACGACGUCGGCCAACUUUACCCCAUCCAUAAAUAGAUUUGCAACCUGAGAUUGCUGCACAAUCAGAAUCUGAGAUUUUUUCAAGGCCUACUCCUCUUGAGCCUCAUCGGCGAUCUACUAGAGUGUCUCAAACUCCUAAACGGUAUGGUUUUUCUUCUACUUUAUCCACCAUCUCUAUUCCAACAGGUUACUCACAAGCUCCAAGCUUGAAUGUUGGUAAAAAACAAUGGAGGAGGAACAUUUGACUCUUAAAGAAAAUGACACAUGGGACAUGCUUUCAUGUUCUUCAAAUAUCCGCCCUAUUGGAUGUAAAUGGAUUUAUUCAAUUAAACUUUAUUCUGAUGGAACUCUUGAUCGGUACAAAGCUCGAUUGGUUGUUCUUGGUAGCAGACAAGAGUAUGGGGUGGACUGUUUGCAUCGGUAGAAAAAAUGACUACGGUGCGAACUAUUAUUGCCAUUGCUGCUUCACAGAACUGGUCUCUUUAUCAAAUGGAUGUCAAAAUCUUUUCUAUAUAGUGAUCUCAAAGAAGAGAUUUAUAUGAAACCUCCACCUGGUUUGUUCUCAUCACCUACAUAAGAUGUAUGCAAGUUGAAGUGGUCUUUGUAUGGAUUAAAACAAGCUCCAAGAGCUUGGUUUGAUAAGUUUUGGUCUACUUUGCUACAAUUUUCUUUUGAGCAGAGCAAAUAUGACUUGUCUUUGUUUAUUCGGAAAACAUCUACAAGUUGUGUUCUUCUUUUGGUGUAUGUAGAUGACAUUAAAGAAUCUUUUCAUAUGAAAUAUCUUGGUACUCUUACAUAUUUUUUUGGGUUUGGAAGUUCAUAAUGUUGCUUCAGGUGUGUUUCUAAAUCAACACAAAUAUACUCAGGAUCUGAUUUCUUUGACUGGUCUUCAAGAUUCCUCCUCCGUAGAUACUCCAUUGGAAUUGAAUGUGAAGUAUCGUCAUGAGGAAGCCGAUCUUCUUCCUAAUCCAACUAUGUUUCGACAAUUCGUUGGGAGUCUAAAUUACCUUACUAUUACUCGGCAUGAUAUCUCUUUUGCAGUGCAACAAGUUAGUCAAUUUAUGCAAGCUCCCCGUCAUCUCCACUUGGUGGCUGUUCGUUUUAUGAUUCUAUAUCUUCUAGGAACAUCUACUCGUGGAUUGUUCUUUCCAAGUGGUUCUCCUAUUCGUCUUAAUGUUUUUAGUGAUUUUGAAUGGGCGGGAUGUCCUAAUACUCGUCGUUCAGUCACUGGUUGGUGCAUGUUUCUUGGAGAGUCAUUGAUAUCAUGGAAGAGUAAAAAGCAAAGAUCGUGUUUUAAAAUUUUCAACAGAGGCUGAAUACGAUCCAUGUCUACUGCUUGCUCCCAGGUAGUAUGGCUUCGUGGAUUACUUGCUAAGAUUGGAUUUCCUCAAUCUCAUCCUACUCCUCUCCAUGUUGAUAAUACAAGUACUUUCAGAUUGCUAUUAAUCCAGUUUUUCAUGAGAGGACCAAACACAUCGAAGUAGAUUGUCAUUAUAUACGAGAAACUGUAGAUAAAGAAGUCAUUACUCUUCCACAUAUGGAAAAAUAUUGUCGAAUAAUUUCAUUCAUAUCUUUCUAUGUCAUGUACAUGACUUUAUAUAUACAUAAAAGAUUGUGCAAUAGAAUCACCUAAAUUAAGAGAAAGAAUUACAGAUAUGAUAUUCUAGAUUACUGCAAUUAUCCUAAGAUCUUAGAGCAUCAUAUCUUGAUAUGAAAAAUAUCUUCUCGUCUUAGAGGAUCAAAUCUUUGAUGACAUAAUAUCUUCUUGAAAUCCUUUAUCAGCCAACACUCCCCCUCAAGCGGGUGAAUGGAUAUCUUUCAUUCCUAGCUUGCUUAUUUGAUUUUGAAAAACAUUUUGGCAAUCCUUUUGUUAAAACAUCAGCCACCUGAUCUUUAGUGCUAUCAUGUUGUACAUGAUUAUGAGCUAUACUUAUUGCUGAUUUAUUGUCACAUUAUAGCCUCAUAGGUCCUUCCCAUCUUAUCUUCAAAUCAUCAAGGAUUAUUUUUAGCCAUAACAACUCACAAACUCCCAUCGCCAUAGAUCUAAACUUAGAUCCUACACUUGAUCUAGCUACAACAUUUUGUUUUUACUCCUCCAAGUCACCAUAUUUCCUCCUAAGAAUGUGCAAUAUCUAGAACAUGACCUUCGAUCCACUAAUGAACCAGCAUAGUCUGCAUCUGUAUAAACCAUGUAUCCUCCUCUUUUGAAUAAUAUUCCUUUUCUUGGACUUCCUUUUUAAGAUAUUGUACAAUAUGGUUGAUAUCUUGAAGAUGCAUUUCUCUUGGAUCGUACAUAAAUUGGCUAACAACACUACAACAAAUGCAACGUCCGGCCUUGUAUGGGACAAGUAAAUAAAUUUCUCUACAAGCCUUUGAUACAGACCUUUAUAAACCACUGAAUCUUCUGGAGCAUUGUACAAUCUAUGAUUAUAUUCAAUUUGUGUAGCCACAGGUUUACACCCUAACUUUUCUGUUUCUUUCAGCAAAUUAAGCACAUAUUUUUGUUGCGAAAUAAAGAUUCCUUGUUUUAAUGUGCCACUUCGAUUCACAAAAAAUACUUCAAUUUGCCAAGCUCUUUGAUGUCAAAAUCCUUGAGUAAACACUUCUUCAAAUUUUGCAUCUCCUAUGAAUCAUCACCUGUUACUAUAAUGUCAUCCACAUAAACCAACAAUGUUGUCACCUUUCCUGUUUUUGAGUGUCGUAUGAACAAAGUGUGGUCUCGUUGACUUUGUCGAUACCCUAGCUUUAUCAUGACAUUUGUAAAUCUUCCAAACCAUGCAUGAGGUGAUUACUUUAAUCCAUAGAGUGACUUCUUCAGUAUACACACCAUUCCCUUCUUGCUUUUAAAACAAGGUGGCACCUCCAUAUAGGUUUCUUUAUCUAAGUCUCCAUGUAUAAAGGCAUUUUUAUACCAAAUUGUUGUAGGUUCCAACUAUAAACUCCAGCCAAUGAUAAUAAACUUCUCAGUGUAUUCAUUUUCGCCACUAGGGAAAAAGUCUCCGAAUAAUCAAUUCCAAAUGUUUGUGUAUAACCCUUUGCUACCAAACAUGCUUUAUAUCUCUGUAUGGACCCAUCUGACUUGUAUAUCACAGUGAACACCUAUCUUCACCCGACCAACUUUUUUCUUUUGGUAAUUCCAUAAUAUCCCAAGUUUUGUUCUUCUCCAAAGCUUCCAUUUCUACCUUCAUAGAAUUCUCCCAUUUUUUAUUUCCUAAUGCUUCAGACUAAGAUUGGGCAACGGAACGGGACGUACCGGUACCGUUCCGGUUCGUCCCGUUUCGGUUGCCUACGGGACGGGCCGGGAUAUUCUAAACCGGUACACGGAACGGGACGGAACGGAACCGUAGUUUCGUACCGGUGUACCGGUACCGGUUCAUCCCGGUUCAUUCCGGUUUCGGUCCGGUCCGUUUCGGUUCCGGUCCAGUUUAUUUGAUAUAUAUUAAUUUUUUUAUAUUUUAUAUAAUUUAUAUUUAUAUUUUUUAUAAAUUUAAUUUUAAAAUUUAAUUUUUUUUCAAAAAUCUCGCCCCUGCCCGCCCUGCCCGCGCCUGCCUGCCCGCCCCUGCAGACUGCAGUCUGCAUAUGCAUAAAGCAGCACUGCAGCUGCAGUGCAGGCCACCCCCCCCCCCCCCCGCCCCCUACCCUUUUCCCAAGAACGGCUUUAAAUUUUAAACGGAAAAAUUAAAACGGCUAGUUUUUUUGUUGUAUAAAUUAGAGUUGUGUGUAAAAAAAUUUUAUUUACAAGUUUACAACUUACAAAUAUAAUCUGAGUAUUUGAGAGAAUAUAUAUUUCCAAAUUACAUUCAUAUUUAUAAGUAUAACUUAUACAAUUUGGUCAUUUGGUGUAUUUCGAAGGAGGAAUCUUCUUCAAAUUUCAAGUUUCGACAUCAAUAUUUUAAUUUUCAUUAUAAUCGUUUGUUCUUAUACAAACGUUUGGUAACUUCGUUCCACUCUCUAAUCUUAUAUUUAUUUUUUGUAUUUAUUAUUUAACUUGUAAGUUGUUCUUGUUAAGUUUCGUAUUUUAUAAUUUAUAAUUUUAUAUCAUGGAGUCUUCUAAAAAAAGUGGAAGUAAAAAAGGUCUAGUAGAAUCAGUAAAAAAAUUAGUUAAAAAAACUAACAAAGGUGCUAGUUCGUCUAAAUCUAAAAUUCCUCUUGUUAGAAUAAAUACAGAUGAAUUUACGCAUGUGAAUGAAACUAGUUUUUCCCGUCCCGGUCCUAUAAAUAUUAAUUCAGAUAGUCCGACUCCCCAUGAACUCUAUGAAAGAUAUUAUGGUAUUAAUCAAGAAAAUGAAGAAGUGGAAACGGAUGAACAAUUAAAUUUAGAUGAAGAAGUAGAUUUAGAUGAUACACCGACUAGCCCCGCCGCCGACCUCAAUACAGUCAAUAGUAUAGGUAUUGAAGCUCCACCUCCGGUUGGAACUACUCGUCCCCUUAUUAUUCCAACUAGAGGUAAGACCAAGGUACAACGUUCUUUAAAAUCACAUGUGUGGAAAUUUUGUUAUUUGAAUGAAGAAAAAACUUUUAGUAUAUGUAAUCUUUUUAAACAACAUUUUAAAUAUACAUCUGGUGGGACGGGAGGUUCAACAGGGGGAAUAAAAAAACAUUUGAUUAACAAGCAUAGUAAAGAGUGGUUUGCAUAUAUGUCUUCUCUUGAAGUUGGUGGAAAUUGUAAUGUUGAAGAAUCGGUUAGAGGAUCAAAUAUGGUUCAAAGUGAGUUAAAUACUUCGAACCCAAGUGGUCCUCUUACACAUCGAACCUAUAACAAGGAUCGUGAUCGUGAAAACUUUGCUAAAAUGGUUGUUGUUUGUGGUUUACCUUUUAGUUUUGGAGAACAUCCGGGUUUUAUUGCUUAUAUUCGUGAAACAUAUAAUCCUAGUUUUCAAGGUUUAUCAAGAAGCAUGGUAAAAAGAGAUAUUUUCGAAUUUCAAGAAAAACAUUGUCAAUAUUUACGUGCCUAUUUUGAACUAAUGGAUUGUAGAGUUGCUAUUACUACUGAUAUGGGUCGUAGUCCUAAUGGUUUUGAUUAUUUAACUGUUACUGCGCAUUGGAUCGAUUAUAAUUGGAAUUUACAAAAAAGAAUUAUUGGUUAUAAAAUUUGUCAAAAGAAAAAAAUCAGAAUUUAUAUUGCUACUACUGUGUUUGAAAUUUUAGAUUUUUUUGGUCUUUGUGAUAAAGUCGUUAGUAUUACUUUAGAUAAUGCCUCUGCUAAUUUAAAUGCUAUUAAUUUGCUAGAACCUAGACUUUGUCCUAUUAGUAAAUAUGCUUUUCAUGUUAGAUGUGCCGUGCAUAUAUUAAAUUUGGUUGUUAGUGACGGUGUGAAAUUAUUUGAAAAUAGUUGUGAUAAAAUUGAUAAUGCUUGUUUUUACAUUUUUCAUAUGAAUAGUAGUAGUAGAAUUAAUCAAUUUAAAGAACUUUGUAAUGCAUUUAAACUUCCGUUUAGAAAAGUUCCGAAGCAUGUAAAAACUAGAUGGAAUUCCUUUGAUGAUAUGCUUGAAGUUGCUUAUUCAUAUAGGCAACCUAUUACUACGCUAUUUAAUAAUCAUAAUGCUUAUCCUGAAUUUAAAAUUAAUGAUAGUGAUUGGGAUGAAGUAAAUGAACUUAGAAUAUUUUUGAAAUCAUUUUAUGAUGCUACUAAAAAUUUUUCUGGAAUAUAUUAUCCUACUAUUUCUGAAAUUUUAAUACACAUAUGUGAGAUUUCAUCUAUUUUUUCUGAAUAUAAAACAAAUACUUUAUUCACCUCUGCUAUUGAAGUUAUGAUUACAAAAUUUAAAAAAUAUUUUUUUCCUAUUCCUCAAAUUUAUUUAACUGCACUUCUUUUCAACCCCGAAUAUAAAGAAUAUGGUACAAAAGCUUUAGUUGAAUGCAUUUAUCAGAAUUUAGAUAUUCAACCUGAAGAAGAACCUGAUUUCGUAACAUGUCAAAAUAGUAUAAAAUACUUUGCAAAAGAAAUGUAUGAUAAAUAUUCAUUCUUAGAUAAUGUUGAAAAUCCUCAAACGUCUACAAAUCAAGUAGGUGCUCAUGGACGAGUGAAACAUAAACUUGGUCUUGACUCUUCUAAUAAAUGUGAAUUUGUUAAAUAUCUUGAACAGGGUACAGAUGAUAUUACAAACGAUAAUGGUAUACCGGAACUAUUGAACUGGUGGAGAAAUCGUGGAGCUCAAUAUCCAAAACUUAGUAGGAUGGUGAAGGAUGUGCUUGCAAUUCAAGGAUCAUCAGUAGCUUCGGAGGCAGCUUUUAGCGCGGCAAGAUUUCAAAUUGGAGACCACAGAUAUUCGUUAGCAGAAGACAGCCUUGAGAUAUCAGUGUUAUUUAGAGACUGGAUAAAUGCUGAGCGUAGAAAUCAAGGACUUCCAAAGUUAGAUAGUCAAUUUGAACUUUUCAUAGAUUCAGCUAUUGGAUGUGGUAGUGAUGAUGGCAUCGAAAUUCAAGAUCGUCAACGAGCUUUACCAAGACCAGAAGUUGAUCACAAUCAAUCCCUAGCUGAGUUAGAAAGAGGAUUUACGGGACUAUGCAACUAUUAGUAUUACAUUCGAGUCUCGAGACAUAGUUGAAACAGAACCCUUCCUAGAAGGUGGCUGCGUAAGCUAUGUACUCUACUAAUAGUUGUAAAUUGAAAUUGUAAUUUGUUACAAAUUUAAAUAAAUUAAAUUGAUAUUUUUUAAUUUUUGUAAUUUAAUUUACUUUUUUAAAAUUACAAAUUUUAUUUAUUUAAUAUUUACAAGAUACAAGUUAUAAAUAUAACUUAUAAAAUAAAUAUUAAUAAAUAUAAGUAAUAACUUAUAAAGUAUAAACUUCAAAAGAUUUAAAUUUUGAAAACUUUAUUAGAUUACUUGCAAACUUAACAAUAAUAAAAAAAAAUUAAUAAAAUAUCUUUAAAAUAAACUUAAGUUAAAAAUUAUAGUAUAAAUUUAAAAAACUAUUAAUUUAUACUUAAAAAAUUAAAAAAAAUUAUAUUUUCGUAAUUUAAAAAAUAUCGUCCCGUUAAUCCCGUCCCGUUCCAUCCCGGACCGUUCCGGUUCAUUCCGGUUCCGUCCCGGUAUAUAGUGGAAUGGGACGGAACCGAUGAACCAUCUCGGUAAUUCCGGUCCGGUUCAUCCCGGUACCGGUCAAAAUUCCGGUUAACGGAUUCCGGUCCGGUCUGGUACCGGUUCAUUCCGGUCCGGUGACCCGGUUCCGGUCCGUUGACCAGUCUUACUUCAGAAAAAUUUCUAGGGAUAGGAAUUGCGUGAAGGUUACUGAGAAAAGCUUUAUGACUUGAGGAUAGGUUUUGAUAUGUCAUUGAGAGGCUCAAAGGGUGUUGCGUGCAAAUUCUGGCUCCUUUUCUUAGUGCAAUGGGAAGGUCAAGGUCAUUAGGUUAAUUAUCUUCAUGAUCAAUUUGGUUUGGUGUUUCUGACGGUUCAACAAUUUCAGGAUGGGUAUCACGAGCAGUAAUCGGAGGAGAUGAUUGCAACUGAGUUGUUUGAUUGGUUAGUCUCUUUCUUAUGGAAUGUACUUGUAAUGGUAGAUUAUUCUCUAGAAUUCCAUUAUCUAUAUUUGGAUUAGGAGACUCAAUGGGUUCAUUUGGAUUUAGAGCCUCAGGUGAUGAAGAAAUGGUGAUUCAGGCAAGGAUUUUGCAUGACUAGAAAUGGACAAAUCAAAUAGUAACAAGUCUAGAGGUUCCUCUCCCUUCAAUGACUCCCCCCUGAUGUUAAGGAUGAUUAAAAAAGGAUUCACUCUCAUCAAAUGUGACAUCAUUGAAACAAAGAAUUUCUUUGAUAAUGGUUGGUAACACUUGUAACCUUUUUGAGUAGGAUAAUAUCCUAUUGAAACAUACUUAAGAGCACAUGGGUCUAACUUGCCUCCAUUUUGAGAAUGAAUAUGAACAUAGGCAAUACUUCCGAAGAUUCUAGGAAUCGAUUUAUUAGAAAUUUCAAAAUUUGGAAAGAAAUUCCUAAGAGUAUCAAGCGGACUUUGAAAGUUUAGAAUUCUUGAUGGCAUUCUAUUACUAAGAUGUGCAGCAAUUAAGACAACUUCCCCCAAUACUGUUUUGGCACCUUUUUGUGAAACAAUAGUGAUCUAGUAAUGUCAAGUAACAAACCAUUUCUUCUCUAUGCUAUCCCAUUUUGUUGAAGAGUAUUGACACAUGAAGAUUCAUGAAUAAUUCCUUCUUUUUGGAAGAAUACAGAGAGGUUUUGAUUGAAGUAGUCUUUGGCAUUAUCGGAUCGGUAUCUUUUAAUUGACACGUCAUAUUGGGUUUUAAUCAUAUUUAAAAAGGUAGGAAGAAUUUGUCUGACAUCUAAUUUUUGCUUUAGAAAAUAGAUCCACGUAACUCGUGUACAAUAAUCAAUGAAUGACACAAACCAUCUACCACCAGAAAUAUUAGGAAUAGGAGAGGGUCCCCAAAUAUCACUAUGAAUAAGAGAGAAUGGAGUUUGAAAUGACUAAUUCGAAAGGAAAUAUGUUUGUUUUUUUGCAAUUUCACAAUCAUCACAAUGAAAAGACUCAACAUUCAAAUCUUUGAAAAAAGAUGGAAACAUCAUUUUGAUUGCAUAAAAGGAUAGGUGACCUAACCGACGAUGAUAAAGAAAUACUUUCUCUUUAUUGGACAUGGUAGAUUCAGACAAGAAAUAACUAGACAAGGAAUUCUGAGAUAUAUAUUCACCAUUGUGUAAAUCAAAACAAUAAAGACCACCUUUCUCACUAGCACGCCUAAUCAACUCCUUCGUGUUAUGAACCUGAAAUAAGCAAUAUGAAGGGAAGAAAGUUACUUGGCAUUUGGAAUCUUUUGCAAGUUUUUUGGAUAGAAAUGAGAUUUGCAUAUAACUUUGGGAUGUGAAAGACAUCUUUCAGUAUCAAGGAUUUUCCAAGUGGUAUAUCUUUUUGCCCAGCUACAAUAAUAACUGAACCAUCAGCUAUAGUUAUUUUUUUAUAGCUAGGACAAGGGGAAUAUGAUAUGAAGAGAUGAGAGAGACUGGUCAUGUGAUCAGUUGCCCCGGAAUCAACCACCCACAUUGGAGGAAGUGUGUCUGAGACAUUAGUAAUAAAAGAGUAAGAAGUACCUGUGAAGGACAAUGAACUAUUACCUGUUGAAGUUAAAUGUUGCAAAUCUCCAAUUGAAACGGUAGAGUUAUUCUCUAUAGUUGCAGAAACAUUUGUAGAGAAUGGAAUAUUUGUGGCAUUAUCAUUUUCAGACAUGGUUUGGGUAGACAAAGAUAGCAAAAUGGGAUUUUUCAAGAUAGGAUGAAUAAAAUUGGUCAGGAAUAAGCCUAAAGCUCUGAUACCAUGUGGAAAAAGAUUGUCGAAUAAUUUUAUUCAUAUCUUUGUAUGUCAUGAACAUGGAUUUACAUAUACAUAAAAGAUUGUGCAAUAGAAUCACCUAAAUUAAGAGAAAGAAUCACAUAUAUGAUAUUCUAGAUUACUACAAUUAUCCAAGAUCUUAAAGGAUCAUAUCUUGAUAUGAAAAAUAUCUUCUCAUCUUAGAGGAUCACAUAUUUUAUAACAAGAAUAUCUUCUUGAAAUCCUCUAUCAGCCAACACCACAUGUGUCCAGUGAUCUUCAAAUAGGUGAUGCUUUUACAAAAUCUAUGGCAUGACAACACCAUCAGUUUCUAGUAGGAAACUUGAUGCUUCUUAAUCCACUGGCAUCAAUUUGAGGUGGGAUGUUAGCAUGAUGGAAAUCUAAAUAAUUGUAUUUAUUAAUGUAAUUAGAUAGUGAUAUAAAUUAGUAUAAUCAUAUCGAUUUGUUGUAUAAUCAAAGGACUAAAUAUUAUGAUAAAAUAGCGGACUUGGAGGGAUUGAAUAGCAGAUUUGUAGAGAUAGAAUGGCUGGUCUUUAGGCAUAGGAAUGACGGAUCUUUAGGGAUUUGUAAUAUUUAUUCUCUCUAUAUAAUGGAAACUCACUUUAAGAGGCGUUCAGCAAAACUGACAAUGUUUUGGGAGCUCAUCCCCCAUUUCAGGUUAUACAAGGAUAUAUUCACAAAAUCUGGGGUAAACAAGGUAUAGACAAAGUGGUCAUGCUUCAGAAUAGGGUGAUAGUAGUGAGGUACAAAACUGAGGCGGGAAAGCAUGAAGUAUCACGGGGGGGGGGGGGGGGAUCUACCACUUUUAUAAUAAGCCAUUUAUUGUCAAAGAGUGAACACCAGAGAUUGAAUUCACAAAGGAGGAGCUAUCAACAGUGCCAAUAUGGAUCAAAUUUCUGGGGUUGGACUUCAAAUAUUGGAGUAUGAAAGGACUAAGUAAAAUAGGAAGACUAGUAGGUAGGCCUCUCAUGGUAAAUCGUAACACUGAGGAGAGGAGUGGGUUGAAUUUUGCAAGAAUACUGGUGGAGGUUGAGUUGGGGGCACAAUUACCAGAAGUAGUACAUAUCAAAAAUGAAAAAGGACAGCUUAUCAAACAAACAGUUCAAUAUGAUUGGAAAUCCAUACUGUGUAAAUACUGCAAGAAAUAUGGACAUAGUGAGGAAGUCUGCAGAUUGAAGAAGAAGAUUCCAAGAGAUGGGCAAAUGAAGCAAGGGACGCAACGAAUGAAAAGGGUGCCGCAACAGACUGUAGAAACUACCAUGAGACAUCAAAGCAGUAGUGAGGUCACACCAAGAAACCACAAUGAUGUUGGGAAGGAAAAAGGAAAACAAAGUGAAAAAGGAGGUACUAGUAAUGAAGGGUGGCAGGUUCCAGUGAGAACUGGAAGAACACCACAGUUGACAUCUCCAAGACACAAUCAGCAGGCUAAUGUUAAUUCAUUCCAGAUUUUACAUAGGAAGGAGGUGAAUUCGGAGAUUAGCGGCAAUGUGAGUGGACUGGCUAAUCUUGCUUUAGGGAAUGGUUAACAUCCUAAGUUGGAAAGUGAGGGGUCUUAAUGGUCCCAAUAAGCAAAGGGAAGUCCAAAUCCUUUGCAACAAUCAAAAGAUGAAUUUGAUAGGUUUAUUGGAAACAAAAAUUAAGAGGGACAAUAUAGAUGAAAUAGCUAGUAAGAUGUUUGUUGGCUGGAAAUUUGACACCAAUUUAGAUAAUCACUAUAAUGGUAGAAUUUGGGUUACAUGGAGGCCUAAUUAUUAUAGAGUUAACACUCUAAUUAAAAUUACUCAAUUGAUUACUUGUGAAGCUAUGUGUUUACCACUACAAAUCUCAUUUGAAAUCUCCUAUGUGUAUGAUUUUAACACUAUGGAGGAAAGGAAGGAGUUGUGGAAAUUUUGGUGCAACAAAGCAAAAUGUGUCGGAAACUGUGGAUGGUGCUAGGUGACUUUAAUUCUGUUUUAAAGGAGGAAGAUAGGGUAGGCGGGAAUGUUGUAGUAUGGUUGGAGGUGGAAGAUUUCCAUAAUUGUGUUAUAGCAAGUGGAUUGCUAGAAUUUCCAACGCAGGGACCUCGAUAUACAUGGAGUGAUAAACAUGCAAAUCAGAGAAAUUUUUUCAAAAAUUGAUUGGAUUUUUAUUAAUGAAGACUAGUUGAACAUUAUGUCUUCUUGUAAAUCCAUCUUCCUUCCUGAGGGCAUAAGUGAUCAUUGCCCUGCAAAAAUCACUCUAUCAGAAAUUAUUACGGCUAAGAGAUCUUUCCAAUUUUGUAAUGUGUGGGCACAACAUCCUCAGUUUUUGACAAUUAUGAAGGAAGGAUGGGUUGUACAUAUUGAGGGUUGUAUGAUGUAUAAGGUGGUGAGGAGACUUAAACAUUUAAAGCGAAGUCUAAUGGGUUACAUUCAGAAGUUUUUCAAAAUAUUGUUGUUGGAAGGCAAUACAAAUAGGGAUACUUUACAGAAAGCCCAGGAAGGUUUACAUUCUUGUCCUACAUAUGAGGCACGUCAAUAGUUAGAAUACAAGGCUUAUCACAAGUUUUGAAAUUCUUCAUAUUUGGCUGAAAUGUUCUUGCAACAACGUAGUAAAGCUACAUGGAUUAGAUUGGGAGAUGAUAACACAAGGUAUUUCCACUCUAUCAUAAAGCACAAGAAGUUACGGAGGUGCACAGAAAGGAGCUGAUCCUACCAUUUGAUCCACAUGAUAUGAAGAAGAUAGUAUUCAAGAUUAACAGAAUUUGGAGCCCAGGUCCAGAUGGUUUUGGAAGUUGUUUUUACAUUGCUGCAUGGGGCAUUGUAGGGCAAGAUGUAACUAGCGCAGUGUUAGAUUUUUUCCAAUCCAGCAAGAUUCUAAGUCAACUCAAUUCUACUAGUAUUGCUCUUGUUCCAAAGAUAGAAAGUCUUGAGUUUGCCAACCAGUUUCGACAAAUUUCAUGUUGUUAUGUCAUACAUAAGAUCAUAUUGGAAAUGAUUUGUAGUAGACUAAGGAAAGCAAUCAGUCAUAUAGUAGCAACAAAUCAAUCAGCAUUUGUCGAAGGCAGAUCUAUGAUGCAUAAUGUGCUUCUUUUCCAUGACCUAUUGAGACACAAUAAUAGGAAAAAUGCUACUCCAAGAUGCCUAAUGAAAAUAGAUUUGAGGAAAUCUUACGACAUGGUUAGUUGGGAGUUCCUAAAGGAGAUGUUGCUUGGGUUUGGGUUUCCUGGGGAGUUUGUCAAAUGGAUUAUGCUUUGUGUAACAACUCUAGAAUUUUCAGUCAAAGUGAAUGGUGAAAACCAUGGCUUAGUUAAGGGGACCCUGUAUCACCAUUACUAUUUGUGCUAGUGAUGGAAUAUUUGUCUAGAAUUCUUAACAGUAUGGAGGAUUUACCAAAAUUUAGAUUUCACCCUAUGUGUAAGAAAUUGAAGCUUACUAAUAUUAUUUUUGCGGAUGAUUUGAUGUUUUUUCUGCAAAGGUAAUAUGGAGUCUGUGAAUAGAGUUAUGGAGGCCUUAGCACACUUUACAAAGGUGUCUGGGCUGGAAGCUAAUAUGGAGAAGUCAAGCUUGUUUUUAGCUGGAGUAGACGAUGGCAUUAGAGACCAACUGUUAAUAAGGAUUGGGUUCACUGUCGGAGAAUUUCCUAUUAAAUAUUUAGGUCUACCUCUUUCUCCUAAAAAAUGGAAGUUGAUGGAUUGUCAUGCACUCAUUGCUGAAAUCACUCAAAGGAUCACUGUGACUUAUUCUAAGCAUUUGUCGUAUGUAGGUAGGCUACAAGUGAUAAAUAUUUUCUAUACAGAGUUUUUGGGGGGCAAUUUUUAUCCUUCGACAAAGUGUAUUGGAAGAAGUGGACAAAAUUUGUAGAACCUAUAUAUGUGGAGGGUCUGAGGAUAAAUGAAAGUUUACACUAGUAUCACGAGAACAAGUAUGCUUUCCAAAGAGGCAAGGAGGAUUAAGCAUUAAAGGUUGUAGUAAUUGGAAUGCUGCCUCUAUCGGACAACUUAUUUGGCAACUAAUAGUUAACAAUGAGUCAUUAUGGGUAAAAUGGGUAUUGGAAUAAACUAACUUCUCUCAAGGCACAAAUGCAUGAACGGUAUAUUCAAGACACAUAUCAACUUACAAAGGAUGGGAAGUAUUCUAUUACAAUUAGCUACUUGGCAAUCAUAGGUCAGAGACCAAAAUUGAAGAAUGCAGAAUUAAUAUGGAACUCUAUGGCCUUUCCUAGGAAAAGAUUUUUGGUAUGGUUGGUUGUACACGGUAGGCUUCUAACAUAAGAGAAGAAAAUAAGGCUCCAAAUUCAAGAUGAUGAGACUGAUUGUUGCCUAUGUGAUGAACAAGUGAUAGAGACUAAUUCUCACUUGUUUGAGCAUUGUAAAUGGAUUAAAAAAGUAUGGCUUGAGAUACAGAAAUUGACAGGGGUAAGGGUUUCUACUGGAGGUAUACAUCAAAUCUUGGAAAACAUCAAGAAGAAGCAUUGGAGGAAAUUUUAAGGAGGUUAUAACAGCUUGCUAUGGAGCUGCGCUUUAUCAUACUUGGCGUGCUAGAAACUGGAAGAAAUUUAGAAAUAAGUAUGUAUAUAUUAUAGAGGUUGUCGCACAGAUAAAAAAAGGAGAUAGGGGAGAGAAUACGUUUACUUUGUAAAACUAAGAGAGCACAGACUUGUAGAUUUUUUAUUAGAGAACUAGAGAUGUAAUUAGUUGUUUGUUUUGUUGGAGGCCUCAUUUCUGCUAAUAGAAAUAAGGUGAUCCUUAGUUGUAAUUGGUUUUGAUGGUUAUGGUAAUCUUUUACAGUUGUUACCAAAAAAAAAAGAUAGUCAAGUAGAAUAUAGUGUGAAAUUCUAUCAAUUUUUCAUGUCACAAUUGUCUCUCGCUUUACCAUCUUUGCCGCUCAACUAAGGGGUUUUAGUCCGAAACAUUUCACUACAACUACUUCUGAAAUGUUGUCAAAAUAAGAAACAAUGGUGCGAAAAUAGCUUUUUUGUACAAGUUAUAUAUGGUCCCAACCUUAAAAAUUGUUGCAUGUCCUGUUUGAGUUUGAUAAAUUGUGAAUCGAAGAAGGAUCAAGAAACUUAGUUUGCUGGAGAAAAUAUUUCUAUUAGGAGUACUACUUAAGCUCACCAUUUUUUUGUUGUUUUGGAAACAAAAAUUGAGCAACUUGAAGCAUUUGGAUCUCAUGAUUAGCUGUGAAUUAAGAAAAACCCCUAAUUUUGGUGAUAUACCAAACUUGGAGACACUAAAUUUACACGGGUGUGUGAAUUUGAAAGAUGUCCAUCCCUCUUUUGAACAUUGCAGACUGCUUACUUAUUUGAGUUUGGAAGGUUGUCACAAAGUUAAGAAGCUUCCAAAAUUUGUCUGCAUGGAAUUUCUUGAGACUCUCAAUUAACUUGAAUGCAAAGCUUAGAAGAAUUUCCAGAAAUCUGUGGAGAUAUGCCGUGCUUAUCGGUAUUCUAUGUAAAAUCCACGUGGAUAAGAAACUUACCUCCAUAUUUCAGUAGCCUUAGCAAUUUGCAAUUGAUUGAGUGUGAAGUUCUUGAAAAUUUUCCAGACGCUAGUCAAAAUCUUAGAUAUCUCCGUAUUUCAGGUUGUAAUAAACCAAUGUUCUGGAUUGGUAAAUCUCCCCAUAUCUCUUGGAGUUCAAAAGAAGCUCCAAUUUUUAGAAAUAGAUAGAUGUGAGAACUUAAAGAAGCUUCCAAGCUCGAUUCAGAUGAAAUCCCUUCAAAAGCUCAAGAUAUCUAAUUCCCCAAAAUUAGAUACAUUUCCAGAAAUUGACGGAGAUAUGCAUUACUUGACACUGCUGACUCUGAUUUUUACUAGGAUAAGAGAAGUGCCUUCAUCCAUUGGGCAUCUAAGAGGACUCGAAUAUCUCUAUCUGUCAGGUUGUAAGAUCUUCUAAGUCUACCAGAUUGCCUCUGCAAUUUGAUGAAACUUCGAAGUCUUUAUCUCGAUGGGUGCAGAAAGCUAGAGAAACUUCCAGAAAACAUUGGUGAUUUGCAAGAUUUACAUAUGCUUGAUGCGAGCGAAGCUGCAAUCUCCCAACCACCUCCCUCCAUCACUAAGCUUGGAAAACUGUGGAGGUUACGAUUCUCACAUGAACAACAAUUUUAACAUUCCUCAAGUUUUGUCUUGAAUCAAGUAUCAGGUCUAUCAUCCUUGACAUCACUUGAUAUUAAUAAUCACAACAUCUUGAGUGGACUUCAUGAGGAUUUAGGAUCUUUACACUCUUUGGAAAAUUUGAACGUAAGUGGAAGCAAUAUUUCUUGUUUACCAAAAAACGUCAAAGGACUCUUACACCUUCAGCAUCUGAACGUACAAUUCUGUCAGAAUCUUAUUGAACUGCCAAGAGAGCUACCCCAAAAUUUAAGGGAGCUAUUUGCAGAUUAUCAUCUAGCCUUGAAUAGUAGCAAAAAUCUCGUAAUUUGUUAUCUUAAGAUGUGUAGGCUCGUAAUAUCCGACCAUGGAACUUUCUCGAGUGAACAUAUUAAUGUGUUCCUAUAACAUUUUCUUAGGAAAUACAUCCAGGUUUUGAUCUAUCCCACACAUAUAUGAAUGUUGAAUAUAUAUUCUCAUUAAAUUGAUUUCUAGCAGUAAUAAUAAUUUUCUAUUGCAUGCAGUGUGACUUCCACCAAAGGGCUUGUUUUAUAAUUUCUUUUCCCGGAGUCAAAAUUCCAGAGUUGUUCAAUUAUGACCGGUUUAUAAAUCAAAAUGUAAUCUUAAUUGAGUUGAACCCAUCUUGGUAUAGUGAUAAAUUCAUGGAUUUUUGGAUAAGUUACGGUCCUACUAGACUGGACGCAGGAUUAGAAGCUACAUUGGUCUGCAAGUGUGACCCUGAAAGAAAUUAUUCCUUGGAGUAUAGCUACAUCUUGAAUAUUCUAUGUUUGAGGAUCGUUUCAUUUGUUGUACCUACAUACCAUUUGAAACAUUGUGGCAUGCUUCUGAAAAUAAAGAAGAGAAGAACCCAAAUGAUUAUUACAUGUUGGAGAGAUCUGGGGAAGAAGUAUAUUGGGGAAUUCGCCUGGAGUAUGAAAAGGAAGCAAUGAUUGAUGCAAAGGUCUGUUUAUGACUUGUUUUACAUCACAAAUUUCAAAUAUUUUUCUGUCUUUCUUAAAUUUGUAUCAUAAAAAAAAUGGUAUGGAAAGUGUAUGUUCUACAUUGUUGGUACCCUUCUCAAAUGGUAUGGAAUUUGCAUCGAUGAUAGAUGGAUGAAAUUUUUAUUUAUAAUGUUGAUGUUUGAGUGCGAAACAAUUUUUCUACCUUUACUAGGUAAGAGUAAAGUUGCAUACGCACCAUCUUCCUAAGAUCCUCUGGAGAGGCAUUUUUAGUGCCCUUUAACUUGGCUUUAAAUUAUAUUUUUGUAUUUCAACUUUGGAUGUGCACAAAUAGACACUUAAACUUGUAUAAAGUUAAACAAAUAGACACACAUAUUCCACAUGUCAUCCUACAUGUCAUUUUUUGUCCUACGUAGUGUCCUACAUGUAUUGUGACAUGUAGGACUCAUGUGUUUAUUUAUUUAAAAGUUGAAUAGUGAAAGUGUCUGUUUGUGCAUUAUGGAAGCUGAAGGUCAAAGUUAAAAUUUGAAGUCAAGUUUAGGGUCUAAUAUAUAUAUUAUGCCUAAUAACAAUUGAGUCAUAGAAUUUUUGUAUAUAUAAUGUAAAUGGAUGUUCCAUUAUGAGUUGAGAAAAUUUGUGUAGCUCAAUAUAUUCUUUUUAAAUUUACAUAAACACUUCAAAACUAUUCUGAAUCCAAACAGGCUCUAAUUAUAUACCUCAAUAGUUAGCUUUUGGGUGUGGUUCUCCCAGGUCAGUCUUUCUUUUCUGUUUUUUCUUCUAAAUUAUUACGAAAUUUUUCUUUAAUUUCUGGACAAUUCCUUAGGCAGGGCAAUAAAUUUAUAUCGAUUUGGUGUUCAUGUGUUUAAUUAAAAGGGAUAAUUAUAUGUCAUGAAUAGGAAGAUGAUAACAAGUUUACUACGAGUUUAAGGGUUAAUUUAGCAAAGUGAUAAGUAGAAGGGUUCAACUGACAAAUGGAGCCAAGUACAGGGAACUUCUUCCCCACGGGUGCAAAUGGAUCAAGAAGAUCAAGAGGUUAAACAAGCUCUGCGUUGUACCCAACGUGGAAAUUGUCAAAACGAAGCCAAAAAAAUGUACUAGUAUUUUAUUUUUAUUAAAUUUAUAUCACACUAAUUGCUUUUUCUAUCCGAUAAUAAUUAUCCGCGGUACUAUUUUAAAAUGUCCAAUCAUAUUUAUCUACGUUAUGAAAUCAAUAAGUAAUUUUUUACUUACACAAUUAUAGCCACUUUGAAAAUUGCGAAAGGGAAAAAGAAAGUCAAAGAAAUUUCCAUGUGUUGUACUAUUAGGGAUAAUGCACAAGUACUACCUCAACUUAUGUUCAAAAUCUCACAGACACUUAUACUAUACUAAGGUGGUAUUAUUACUCCCUGAACUUAUUUUAUUAAUAAUUUUUUUACCUCUUUUCAGCCUAUGUGGCACUGUUUUAUGGGCCCAACGCUGGUUGAUUUUUUUUUAAGUUAGUGUCACAUAGGCCGAAAAGGGGUAGAAAAUUACUUAUAAAAUAAAUUCAAGGGUAAUAAGACCUUAGUGUAAUAUAAGUGUGUCUUUGAGAUUUCGAGCAUAGAUUGAGGGGUACUUGUGCAUUUUCCAAGGGAAUUGCGGUUUGAAUAAGUGGAAACUCUGCAGAGGAGUAGCUUCAGACGUUGGGGUUAUAUUCUGGCAAGCAUCUUGAGAAAAGGGGGACCAAAUGAAAUUUCCUUGUUGUCAAUUGGAAUCAAAGUAUCUAAACAGAGCUUUGAGCCUCUUAUCAAUUCCCUUAUAGAAAGCAAAUGGUUGAUCCGCGGUAGACAGGAAAGUAGAUCCAUUGACCUUGAUGGGUGCCCAGAAUUGAAACAGACAAAUAUUUGAAGUCCACAUUUUCUCCAUAGCAAAUAGGAUCCUCCAAUUCUCAUUUGGAAAGAUGGAAACAACAUAAUAAGCUGGAGUUAUAAAAAGGGUUAGAAAGUGCUAAACUAAACAAAAUUAAAAUUGGAAAAUAUUCACAACAGACUCUCAAGAAAAAGAGUUAAUGGGAAGAUUGCUGGUACUCCAACUUGUCAUUGUGUUUUCUGCUCCAAAAUGCCCAGCCAUUGCCAUUAUCACUGAGUUCCAGUUGAGACCAGUCCAGUUUACAAGGCAUUACCUCACAUACCUCUGAAGGUUCAUCAACAACAAGAUGCUCCAUACUAUACUAUACAAAUACAAUUUCACUAUCGCUUUGCUGCUUAUAUACAAGGAAGGAUUGUGGAUCAACUAUUCAAAAGUCAUCCAGAAACUACUAUUAUUUUCAUCCACAAUUCUCCAUUUAUAUUAUCACACUAAUUAAAUAAUUUAUCCGUUCCAUUUUAUAUAUAACAUUUUUAUUUUGUACUUGCGUUAUAAACUAAUACUUUCUUCGUUUCAAAAAGAAUGACCUAGUUUGACUUGGAACAAAGUUUAAGAAAAUAAAUAAGAUUUUUUAAUCUUGUGGUUCUAAAUUAAAGUUAUGCCAAAUGUACCAAAUGUCCUUUAAUCUUGUGGUCUUAAACAUGUCACGUGAAAAGUUAAAUUAAAGUGUUGCAAAAAAAGGAAAGGGAUUAUUCUGAAACAGACUAAAAAGAAAAUAGGGUCAUUCUUUUUAAAACUGAGGGAAUAUAACUUUAUCCUUCUUUUCUUAUUUAGUGUUUUCUUAAAUCAGCAAAAUAUAAUAAUUUAUACUUCCUCCGUUUCAAAAAGGAUGGCCUAAUUUGACUUGGACGGAGUUUAAGAAAAGAAAGAUAACUUUUUUAGUCUUGUGGUUCUAAAUUAAAGUUAUGUCAAAUGUACCAAAAUGCCCUUUAAUCUUGUGGUCUUAAGCAUGUCAUGUGGAAAAUUAAAGUUAAAGUGUUGUCAAAAAAGAAAAGGGAUCAUUUUUUUAAAACAAACUAGAAAGGAAAUAGGGUCAUUCUUUUUUAAACGGCGGAGUACAUAAAGUUUAUAAAAUGAUAAAUAUUGUGGUCCAACUAUUUAUAAAAAGAGACGACAUAUUAUUUCUUCCGUUUCAAAAACAAUGACAUAGUUUGAUUUAACACAAAAUAUAUCAAAAAAUUAAAAAACUUUUAUUCUUUUUGAUCCUAAAUUAAAGUCAUAUCAAAUACAUUUAAGAUAAUUCUUUUGUAAGCAUACUAAAAAAAUAAUUCCUUUAUUUAGAGGGAAACGAUGCAAAUGGAUUAAGAAGCUCAAGUGGUUCAACAAGCUCCAAAUUGUCAAAACGAAGGCAAAAUAUCGUACUACUAUUUAUUUUUUAUUUAAUUUACAGGAAAGGGUUAUAUUGUGAAAUUAAUAGAAAUAUAUUUUGUUUAUAAUAUAGUUUUAAAAUAUUUUUAUCAUCAAUAUUUUGAUUUUAAAAUUUCCUUAGUAUUAUCUCUAAAGAACCUUAUUCUUAUUUUCUUUCUUUUACAGUUAGGGGUUAUGAAAUGAUUUUUAGGAGCUUUUGCAAAUAGUCAUCAAAAUAAAUUUAAUAAUAUUUAAUAGUUAUAGUUUGCAUAUUUAUGGGUAGUAACUACAGUUUAAGCAAUCUCUUUGUAUAAUUUACAGGUUUGUAUAAUUUGCGGGUACAUUUGUAUAAUUCAGUUAUUUUUAUAAAAGUCAAAAAAACGAAUUUAUACAAUUACAAACAUCACAAGUGUAAACAAUUAUAUAAAUUAUAUUAUACAAAUUUUGAAUAUCACGCAGAUCUGGUGACAAAGAAUUUAGAAUCCAAGUUGUGACCAUAUCAUCACACCUUUCCCAUUGCUGAAGCUAAAAUUAGUAGGAUCGGGUCUCACAACAUUCCCAUUCAUGAGCAUUUCGAUUUUCUACUAUUCCUAGUCCUUAAAGAAGGUACUUGUGCCCUUAGGGGAUGGUUUGACUUCAUCCUUAUCAUGAUCUAAAAAUCUAGUGACACCUGCCUUAUCCCAUCAAUACAUGUUAACUUAAACAAUCCUUGACAAGGGCAAUAACAAAAGUAAGAAAGAAAUCAAGAACAAAACAUAACAUAAUAAUGCAAAACUCUUAAUAUAACACAGUUUUCCCCCAAAAUCUAGUGUCACGUGUACAAGCCUCUAAAUAAUACAACAGAUUUAAAAGAAGUACAAGUAUACAAUAAUGAGAUAGUAGAAAGACAUAAUCAAGAGUAUGUGAUAACUGUUGAGAUGAUCACGAACGUCUCCAAAGGUAAGUCUUAAUAAAGAUGUGAGAGGACGAUCAAGAUGAUUCAGACUCGUAACCUACACAAGUAUGGAGAGAAAGGGAGUAAAUACCAAAUAAUAACGUUACUCAGCAAGCAUUCCUAGCUAACACUAAGUAAAGUGAUAUCGAACACAAGCACUCCGUCACACUUUCUAAACCUCUUCAAACUAAAAUUACUAUAGUAUUUAGAACCAACUCAUCCUAACAGUUUUACAAGUAACGGAGCAACACGUUACAUGUAAUACACAGUUAUAUCACAUAUCAGAGUCUCUAUAGUAUCACCGUAACCUGUCACAUCUAGAUAGCCAUGAAAUAACAACUCACUCAUAAAAGACAAGAAUGACAAUGAGGAGUGAAUACAAUGCAAUGCAAUGUCAUAUAAAAUGAAGCAUGUCUGUUCAGUUGAUACACAUUGGCUAACUAGUAUCUGUGACACAUACAGAACCUGUAUGUUCAUGCAUUCACUACAAAAGUGCUAACUAGGAGCUCAGGACCUACAAACGACAUAUUAGUACAUACAUCCGUUAAAUGCAUUUUUUACCAGUAUAAACAUCAAUCACCAAAACAAUUUUCCAUCGAUAUUACAUUAUUCACCAAAAUCAUUUUUCAUAAGCAUAAAAAUCAAUUGCCAAAAUUAUUUUUCAUCAACAUAUCACGAAUUCAAAUUCCACGAUAGUGUUUUAGAUUCAAUACAAAUAAGCAUGUUCACAUGUAUAAUAAGAAGAUGAUAACUUUCACAUCAAUAAUCAAUCCACACACACAAUUAUGACACAUCAUCAAAAGUGAGUCAAGAUAAUCAUUCAAGCUACUCGUGGCACAUCACACAAUAUUAUAUGUACCAUUCAUUUUUCCCCAAGUAAUCAUAACAAAUAUUUAGACAAUGUAAUAACAAGCACUCCUUUGUCUUAAUUUAUAUGACUUUCUUUCCUUUUUAUUUAGUCCAAAAGAGAAUAACACAUUUCUAUAUUAAAUAACAAUUUAACUCUAAAAUGUAUAUUUUACGCUUAAUGAAAUGAUUUACAACCACACAAAUUUCUAUCAUUCAUUUUGAACCAUAAGUUUUAAAAAUCUUUAUUUCUUUCUUUAACUUCGUAUCCAGUCAAACUACCUCACGUAAAAUAGGAUAUAUUAGUACAUGCAUCCGUUGAAUGCAUUUUUUACCAGUAUAAACAUCAAUCGCCAAAAUCAUUUUCCAUCGAUAUAAACAUUAUUCGCCGAAAUCAUUUUUCAUAAGCAUAAACAUCAAUUGUCGAAAUUAUUUUUCAUCAACAUAUCACGAAUUCAAAUCCCACGAUAGUGUUUCAGAUUCAAUACAAAUAAGCAUGUUCACAUGUAUAAUAAGAAGAUGAUAAAUUUCAUAUCAAUAACCAAUCCACACACACAAUUAUGACACAUCAUCAAAAGUGAGUCAAGAUAAUCAUUCAAGCUACUCGUGGCACAUCACACAAUAUUAUAUCUACCAUUCAUUUUUCCCCAGGUGAUCAUAACAAAUAUUCAGACAAUUUAAUAACAAGCACUCCUUUGUCUUAAUUUAUAUGACUUUCUUUCCUUUUUAGUCAGUCCAAAAGAGAAUGACACAUUUCUAUAUUAAAUAACAAUUUAACUCUAAGAUGUAUAUUUUAUGCUUAAUGAAAUGAUUUACAACCACACAAAUUUCUAUCAUUCAUUUUGAACCAUAAAUUUUGAAAGUCUUUAUUUCUUUCUUAAACUUCUUAUCUAGUCAAACUACCUCACGUAAAAUGGGAUAUAUUAGUACAUGCAUCCGUUGAAUGCAUUUUUUUACCGGUAUAAACAUCAAUCACCAAAACCAUUUUCCAUCGAUAUAAACAUUAUUAGCCUAAAUCAUUUUUCAUAAGCAUAAACAUCAAUUGCCGAAAUUAUUUUUCAUCAACAUAUCACGAAUUCAAAUCCCACGAUAGUGUUUCAGAUUCAAUACAAAUAAGCAUGUUCACAUGUAUAAUAAGAAGAUGAUAAAUUUCACAUCAAUAACCAAUUCACACACACAAUUAUGACACAUCAUCAAAAGUGAGUCAAGAUAAUCAUUCAAGCUACUCGUGGCACACCACACAAUAUUAUAUCUACCAUUCAUUUUUUCCCACGUGAUCAUAACAAAUAUUCAGACAAUUUAAUAACAAGCACUCCUUUGUCUUAAUUUAUGACUUUCUUUCCUUUUUAGUUAGUCCAAAAGAGAAUGACACAUUUCUAUAUUAAAUAAUAAUUUAACUUUAAGAUGUAUAUUUUACGCUUAAUGAAAUGAUUUACAACUACACAAAUUUCUAUCAUUCAUUUUGAACCAUAAGUUUUAAAAGCCUUUAUUUAUUUCUUAAACUUCGUAUCCAGUCAAACUACCUCACGUCAAAUAGAAUAGAGAGAGUAUAAUAUAAGAAGACCUUCACCAUUCCCCAUUACUCCAAAGUACACAACGAAACAUAGAAGGUUCAAUAUACUUUCAAAGGGUUAAAAAGGUUCACUUACCUUAAAAAGGAAAGAAAUCAACUUGGUACUAUUCAUGUCAAUUUUUUUAAUUUUCAAACGUCUAUCUCUUCAUAUCAAUUUAUUUUAAUGUGUUCAAAUUUAAAUUAAUGUGAGCUAUUUUUAAAUUUAGAUGACCCGUUUAUUUUCCACCUCUAAAUAUAGUCAAAAGUUUAGUUUGUGGACAAGUGUAAAUGGAUCAAAAGCUCAAAAGUUACAAACACACUUAGCUUUUUUUUUUUUUUGGUUGUUGUUGGAAAUUGUACAUUUUCCCAUGUUGUAGUCCUCUGGAAAUUGUCAAAGGUAAAACGGAAGGCAAUAAAUUGGGAAGUUAGUACCGUUUUUUCUUAUUGAAUUUAAAUAAUAUCAUCCAUAAUACUACAGUCUACAAGGUUAGCAUUUUUUACUAGUUUUACAUUACAAUGUCUAUUUACACGUAGUGGCCUUGAAGCCGGGGGGACACAAAAUAUGGCUACCAUUAAUUGGUGGUUCCAUAUUACAAAAGGUGGAAGUAAAAUAUAUUAAUAUUAAGGGAAAAUGCACAAGUAUUUCCUCUAUUUAUGUCCGAAAUUCUAGAGACAUAUUUAUAUUAUGCUAAUGUCCUAUUGUCACAUCUCUUUUUUUCUCUCAAAUAUUUUUUUUUAUUUUUCGAAAGAAAAGAGUUUUUCCAAUUAAAGUGACAUUUUGAAAAGUGAUAAUUAUUAUACAGAGUCGCCACUUGGAAUUGAGUUUUGGUGUUCCAAGUCAUCUUAUUUAAAUCCCUAAUCAAAAGGAAAUUUGACUCUAUUUUUUAUUGGUCUGCAAACUAGAAAUUCGGGUAAGGAUUUCUGUUGACCGAGGGGAAGGUGUUAGGCACCCCUCGAAUCCCGUGGUUCUAGCACGGUCGCUUUAUUAACUUUGAUAUGACUUGACUUAAUUUUGGAUAUUAUAUUUUUUAAACUUAUUGAUAAAUUUUUAUUUACCCAAAUUUAUUGGUUAACUUAUUUGAAACUGACUAAUUUAUUUGAAAUGAUUUUUUUUUCAGGGUAUGUCCAUUUAUUUUUAAAUACCUAAUAUUUUGAAAGUAAAAUUUAUGUAGGAAAGAGAUUUUAGUGUUUGAGUAAUUUUAGUAUUAUUUCUUUUUUAGUUACAUUUUUGAAUAAGAGGUAAAAUUUUAAGAGAUUUACUAUUAUUUUUACAAGAAAAAAUUUGAUUAUUUUUUAAUAAAGUAAUAAUUUUUAAUUUUGGUUGACAUUCUUUUAAACUCACUCUUUUAUCUUUCUUUCUUUUUUACUUUAUUGUUAUAAAAAAAACUUACGUGUUUGUUAACUUUUUCAUUAUUAUUUAUUUCUAUUUUCCUUUCAUUCUUUUUUUUUUUUAACUUUCUGCUUUAUUAACUUUUUUAUUGUAUUGUUAUUUUAUAAAAUUUGUCUUCUUCUCCUUUUUUUUUUAUAAUUUUUGUUACUCUUUUUCACGUUCUUUUUUUAUUCUUUUUUUUUAUUUCUCCUUCUUUUCUUUUCUUUUCGUUUUUUUUUCUUUCUUUUACACGUUUUUUUUUAAAUUUUUUUUCACGUUUUGAUUUUAUCAAUAUUAUGUUUUAUAUUUUUUCAUUUUUUAUUUUUCUUCUAAUUAUUUUUUUUAUUUUAUUUUAUUUUAAUACGUUUUUUAUGUUCUUCUAUCUUUCUUUUUUUUUUCUUUAACUUUCUGUUUUAUUAAUUUUAUAUUUUUAGUUUAUAAUUUACUUAUUCUUCUUAUCUUAUCUUUUCUUCUUCUUUUUUUUAUACGUUUUCCUAUUAUUUUUUUCUCUGAUUCUUUCUUCUUCUUUUUUAUUUUCUUUAUUUUUACAAUCUAUUUCUUCUAAUUUUUGGUUAUGUUUUUUUCAUUCUACUUCUCUUUUCUUUUUAUUUUUUGAUUUUUUCAUUUUUUACAUAUUUUUCUUUUUAUUUUAUUUUUAAAAAAAAGAUUCUGUUAUUUUUUUUCGCUGUUUUUUUUUGUUUUCUUGUUUGUUUGUUUUUUGUUUUUUUAUUUAUUCUUUUGUUCUCUUUAUACAAUUUUUCAAAAUUUUACUUUUGUUAUUGUUAAAAUUAUAUUUAUUAAUAUUAAUUAUCACUAUUUCAUCAUGAAUCUCUAGAUGAAAUUUAUUUCUCUUUUUAAUUAACAAUUCUAUUUAGAUAAUUUUUGUUUUUGAAAAAUCAUUUAUUAAUUAUUUUUAUAUUUUAAUCUAACAAGUUAACAAUAAAUUUAACAAAAUUCUAAAGUGAAAAACUAAACGGAAAAAUAUAUGAAUCUAAUCAAAUUUAUCAAUUCAAUAUCAUGAAGAGAUAUAAAUUACAAAGUGUAUCUAAAAAGCAUAAUAAUAACAAUAAUAAUAAUGUAACAAUAAUAAAUAUGAUACAUGCGAUUUGAAGAAUUUCAUACUAUUGGAAUCUAAUUUUCAUACAAGUAAUAUUAUUUAAAUCACGCGAGAAUUUAUAAUUACCUCGCUGCGAAAUUUCAUACCACAAAAACAAGCUUUCUACGAAUUUGGAACCAAGAGGAAAACCUCUAACUCUAACCUAAUUCUCAAAAGAAUAACUCACUUUUCUUCUCUUUGCUUUUUUUUCUCUCUGUAUUUCAAUCUGCCUUUGUGUGUUUUUAACAUCUCUCUGUAUCUGUAUAUUUUUAUAAUUCUUUUGACUAAGAGUUUGGUGCUAAAUAAAAGGAACGUAAUAGAGUUGAAUUAGGAUUUAAUUUGAAAUAUUGUUGAGGAAAUUGGGGUUGAUGAUAAGGAUAUAAAAUAAAUAAAUAAAUAAUAAUAGUAGAAAUUAACAAAAAAAAAUAAAAAAAAUGUUUAAACUAAACGUGCAAAGAGAGAGACAGAGAAAAAAUGAAAAAAAAUAAAUGAAUAAAUAAAUGGGAUGAGAUUUUUUAGUAAAAUAAGUUAGGAAGUUGAGAAUAAUUAGGAUAAAGGGGAGGUAAUUUGAAUAUUUAGGACUCCCUUUUUCUUUUCUUCUACCAUUAUUUUUAAAGUAAUUAAAAGUUGAAGAUUUAAAACAAAUACCAUAAAUUCAUAAUUUUUUAUUAUUAUUAAAGUAAUUUACACAAUUUAUUUAUUUUUAUUUAUUUUAAAUAUAACCUUUUUUAAAAAAAUUGGUGUUAAAUCUUUAUAUUUUGGUAAAAAAACUAGGUGUUCACAGUAUGCCCCUCUUUGCUUGAAAACAUGAAGAGUUUUCAUGCAAAGACGUGAACAACGUGACUAAUUUUUUACUGAAAUAUUUAUGUGAAAAAUUUAUAGUAGAGAAGAGGUUUGACUGUGUCCUAACUUUUAAAAAUAUCCUAUGUUGAGAUGAUAAGGAGUCAGGCGUAGUUCCAAUGAGUUAGGUAGUCGAGUGAGGUUUUGUCGAGAUUCCGGUUCGUAGCUCCAGCUAUUACAAAAAAAAAUGCAAAAGAAAAGAUAUGAAAUCCUAUCUACUCCGAUAGUGCUAAGUCUUCAUUUUGGAUUCUCAGAUAUCGCUUCACCCUCUUAGGUAGGUUCAUCGAUUCCCGCCCUUUGCUCUAGACAUCUGAGUUUAAGACAUGAAAUUUCAUGACUUGACUUCAGCUACUGACAUUCUUCCGUAUGAUAUUCUUGAAAACUUAUUUUGCUUGAAAUGAUGAAUUCUUUUAUUUUUGAACUGCAAAUUUGUGUACUAUGUAGAAACCUGCACACAAAAGGAAAUUUAAUACCCAAAUUGCAAUCCAGGGGUUAUUGUGCCCUGUGAAGACAUGAAAAAAAAUUAUAGGGGUUAUUGUGCCCUAUAUGCAACCAGGGGUUAUUGUGCCCUGUGAAGACAUGAAAAAAAAAAGAUAGGGGUUAUUGUGCCCUAUAUGCAACCAGGCGUUAUUGUGCCCUGUGAAGACAUGAAAAAUAAAAUGAUAGGGGUUAUUGGGCCCUAUAUGCAAUCCAAGGGUUAUUAUGCCCUGUGAAGACAUGACAAUAGGAUAGGGGUUAUUGUUCCCUAUAUGCAACCAGGGGUAUUGUGCCCCGUGAAGACAUGAAAAAUAAAAUGAUAGGGGUUAUUGUGCCCUAUAUGCAAUCCAGGGGUUAUUGUGCCCUGUGAAGACAUGAAAAUAGGAUAGGGGUUAUUGUGCCCUAUAUGCAACCAGGGGUUAUUGUGCCCUGUGAAGACAUGAAAAAAAAUGAUAGGGGUUAUUGUGCCCUAUAUGCAAUUCAAGGGUUAUUGUGUCCCGUGAAGACAUGAAAAUAUAGGAUAGCGGUUAUUGUGCCCUAUACGCAACCAGGGGUUAUUGUGCCCUGUGAAGACAUGAAAACUAAAAUAGGGGUUAUUGUGCCCUAUAUGCAACCAGGGGUUAUUGUGCCCUGCAAAGAGAUAAAAAAUGAUAGGGGUUAUUAUGACCUAUAUGCAAUUCAGGGGUUAUUGUAACCUCUGAAGACAUGAAAAAUAAAAUAGGGGUUAUUUUUUUACUUAUAUUAUUAUUUAAUAUUACUUUAUUUUUAUUAGUACAUUGAUCAAUUUAAAAAUAAAAUAAAAUACCCCAGAUUUUAUUAAGAAAAAAAAAUAUUUUUUUAAAUUUUGCAUAUUAUAUGAGAGACAAGGAUUCAAAAAUUUACCAUCGCGGCAUUUGUUUCUAGCGAAUUACUUGCAUUAUUUGUCUUUAUAGCUCUUUCAGCCUAUAACUUUAUUUCUAUCUUUAUUGUACUCAUGCCAAGACGGAAUGUCAUCAUUUGAUAAAUGGUGUUAUUCGUGAUUUUUUACCAAGUAGAUAUUCUUAUUUUUUUUACUGUCGUCUUAUGUUUCUCUCGAGAAUUUUCACUCAUAAGACCCUCUUAUUUUUUUAAUUUUUAAUUUUUUAUUUUUUUCUAUAACAUACCAUAGGAUACAAUGUCAUGUUUCAACCUUUGUAGAUUUUAAAUAGCAUGAUCAUUAUUUUAUUGAGUGAUUAGACCGAACCUCAAUGAAGGGCUGCCUACGUAUCCUCUUAGAAAUCAGGUCGAACAUAGUUCAAUAAAAAAAUAUUUUUUUUAUUUAUGUUUAGAAAUAUAAUGGAAAAAUUGAAAAAAUAAUUAGUUCAUGUUUGAUAAUGCUUUGACUUUAGUUGGUACCAACAAUUAGUAUUAUGCAUAUGAACUACAUUCAACGACUUUCAAAUAAGUUUGAGGUCAACUUUGAGUAAUUUAUAUUGUUUCAAAUUGUAUCUCAAAUAUAUUUAAGUAAUUAUAAGAUCAAUUUAUCUUGUCAAAAUUAAGGGAUAGAAUUAUUCGUAUCCUCAUGUUUCAAAUGCACUCUCAAUAUAUGAAAGUCCUACUUCACACAAUACAAUAAUUUAGAUCGUUGGACAUUUUUGAAAGUCACUCCCACUCAGAAAGAUAUUCAAUGCAUGAGAUUAAGAUACCAUAUGAGUGACUCUCAUGUAAGCAUCCACUAAUAUGAGAACAUAAAAAAUGAGAUCAAAUAGGACUUGUCAUUGGUUUGUAAUGUAGUCUUAGGGAAAGGUAGAAUAUUCAUUUGAGAUAAAGUGACUAUUUCCUCCUUAGAAUUCGCACUAUACUUUUGAUAUUUUUUUUUGUUUUUGCAUUUGACCUUUGUUUCUUGUAAGGUCUUUUACAUUUUUUUUUUCUCUCUUCAUUUUUUUGAUCUUCUCUCCUUUUUGUUGGAAUCUUUUUUUUCAUUUUUCAUUCUAUCUUUUUUUUUGGACAUAUUUGAUUUUUUUCACUUUGUUACCCAACUUAGGUCUUUAAUGUUAUAUAGAUAUUUCAUAGUGCGUUCAAGGAGGUGAGAUAAAGGGAUUAGUGCAUUUUUACACUCAAAAGGUAUAUAUGCUAAGAUGUGGUUAUUCAAAUAAAAAGCUUUCAGGGUCGAAAUGGGAGUUCUGUUGAUAAAUGUCAUUCGGUAGGCUUGAAAGACACAAUCGAUUCAAAGAAAGCCUAUAAUCCUUUCUCAAGUUAAAUGUUGCUCAAAAUUUCAUCUCAACCAACAUUCGGGCCAAGUUCUAGAUCAACAAAAUCAUGACUUUGAAUUUUACGUCGUAAAGCUCACCACGCAAUGCAUUUGAAACAAUGAGGUAAAAUUUAUUUUAUCAAUAACUUUAAACAAGAUAAUUUCUCAAGUAUGACAUAAAUGUAUUGAGAGAUGUCAAUAGAAGUCUAUAGUUCACAACAAAGUUGAUAUGUCUUACCAAAUAGUUUAACACUUUAUUUUUUUUUCUUAUGCAUAAUCCUAAGCAUGUUGUUACCAACCAAGUCAAAGAAAAAAAAUCUAUUUUUUUGCCCCAGUUUACGUGACUAGAAUUUUUAGGAUUUUUUUUCCUCGGUUGGACUAAACCUUACAAUAAGGUUGCCUACGUAUCUUGUUAAACAAGAAUCAGGUCUAACGUAGUUCCAAAAUAUAAGUAAAAAUAUGUUUUCUUAAAGACAAAUUUCCUUUUUAAUAUAUACACAAAUUAUUUCAUUUUUUAAUUUUUAAAUAAUAAUUUUUUAAUUUUUUAAUUUUUAAAUAAGGAUCACCGAACCAAAGGAAGGUUGCCUACGUAUCUCAUCAAGGUGAGAAUCAGGUGUGCGUAGUUCGUUCAGAUUGAACGUUUAAAUAAUUUUUGUUUGAAAUUUGUUGACAAAUGCAACUCUUUUCUUCUUUUAAAGUGAUAUAAGAAAACUUUUAAAAUUUCUUAUAUGUACAAUUUAAAAGACAUAUAUACAUAUAUUAUUAAUAUUAUUAUAUUUAUUAUUUAUGUAUUAUUUUAAUAAAAGUGAAAAAUAAAAUUGAGGAUUAGGAGGUGUGUAUGUAUAUAUAUGUGUACUAAUUUGUUUAUUUUGAAUCAUUGGUUGAAAAUGGGUAGAAAAUAGAUAUUUAUUUCUUUAGUCGAUUAUCCUAAAACCGAUCAACAUUUUGUUAUAGUCUUCAUAUGAUGCAACAAGUAGCAUAAAAAUUCACAUGAUGAUCUCAUGAAUAAAUAUCUGUCCUAGUCAAAUUGGGCCCUAAAUUCCGCUAAGUUACAUGCACACAAUGCAAAUAAAUCGGAACCUAGUAAGAAUAUCAUGUAUGAAAGUUUCAAUUCUACUAAGGUAAGAUAUCUACACUGGCUGUAAAACAAGCGGACAACUCGAUCAGGGAGUAGCAACGUACCAGUAGCAGCACUUUCCGGCUUUGUGCAUGGGUGCUCCCUAUCCUAAAAUGGUGUGACUACAUAUCCUUCACCAUGGACCGAAGAUCCACCGGCUAUCUUGACAGAAGUGGGGUGCAUAGUUGCAAUUCCCAUCAUAUUUUUAUUGAAGACUCAUAAUGGUUCGGGAGACAAGCAAUUCAAAUAUUAUUAAAAUAUUAAAUAAAUAAACAAUUAGCAUAUUAAGUUAAAAUAAAUACAAUAUCCAAAAAGCGUAAAUAUACAAGUCAUAGUCAUACAUAAAUUAAUAUUUAAAGCUCGAAUUCUAGUUAAUCCCCAGCGGAGUCGCCAUUUGUCACACCUCUUUUUUUUCUCUCAAAUAUUUUUUUUGAUUUUUAUUUUUCGAAAGAAAAGAGUUUUUCCAAUUAAAGUGACAUUUUGAAAAGGGAUAAUUAUUAUUCAGAGUCGCCACUUGGAAUUGAGUUUUGGUGUUUCAAGUCAGCUUAUUUAAAUCCCUAAUCAAAAGGAAAUUUGACUCUAUUUUUUAUUGGUCUGCAAACUAGAAAUUCGGGUAAGGAAUUCUGUUGACCGAGGGAAAGGUGUUAGGCACCCCUCGAAUCUCGAGGUUCUAUUACGGUCGCUUUAUUAACUUUGAUAUGACUUAACUUUGUUUAACUUAUUUGAAACUGACUAAUUUAUUUGAAAUGAUCUUAUUUCUUUUUCAGGGUAUGUCCAUUUAUUUUUAAAUACCUAAUAUUUUGAAAGUAGAAUUUAUAUAGGAAAGAGAUUUUAGUGUUUGAGUAAUUUUAGGAUUAUUUCUUUUUUAGUUACAUUUUUAAAUAAGAGGUAAAAUUUUAAGAGAUUUACUAUUAUUUUUACAGGGAAAAAAUUUAAAUUUUUUUUAAUGCUGCAUAUUCUUUUUUUUAAUUAUUAUCUUUGGUAUUUUUUUUGUAUUUUUUUUAAUUUUUAUAAUAAAGUAAUAAUUUUUAAUUUUGGUUGACAUUCUUUUAAACUCAUUCUUUAUCUUUCUUUUUUUUUUACUUUAUUGUUAUAAAAAAAAAACUUACGUGUUUGUUAACUUUUUUAUUAUUAUUUAUUUCUAUUUGAAAUUUAUUUCUCUUUUUAAUUAACAAUUCUAUUUAGAUAAUUUUGUUUUUGAAAAAUUAUUUAUUAAUUAUUUUUAUAUUUUAAUCUAACAAGUUAACAAUAAAUUUAAUAAAAUUCUAAAAUGAAAAACUAAACGGAAAAAUAUAUGAAUCUAAUCAAAUUUAUCAAUUCAAUAUCAUGAAGAGAUAUAAAUUACAAAGUGUAUCUAAAAAGCAUAAUAAUAACAAUAAUAAUAAUGUAACAAUAAUAAAUAUGAUACAUGCGAUUUGAAGAAUUUCAUACUAUUGAAAUCUAAUUUUCAUACAAGUAAUAUUAUUUAAAUCACGCGAGAAUUUAUAAUUACCUCGCUGCGAAAUUUCAUACCACAAAAACAAGCUGUCCACGAAUUUGGAACCGAGAGGAAAACCUCUAACUCUAACUUAAUUCUCAAAAGAAUAACUCACUUUUCUUCUCUUUGCUUUUUUUCUCUUUGUAUUUCAAUCUGCCUUUGUGUGUUUUUAACAUCUCUCUGUAUCUGUGUAUUUUUAUAAUUCUUUUGACUAAGAGUUUGGUGCUAAAUAAAAGGAACGUAAUAGAGUUGGAUUAAGAUUUAAUUUGAAAUAUUGUUGAGGAAAUUGGGGUUGAUGAUAAGGAUAUAAAAUAAAUAAAUAAUAAUAAUAAUAAUAGAAAUUAACAAAAAAAAUAAAAAAAAUGUGUAAACUAAACCUGCAAAGAGAGAGAGAGAGAGAGAGAGAGAGAGAGAGAGAGAAAAUGAAAAAAUAAAUAAAUAAAUGAAAUGAGAUUUUUUAGUAAAAUAAGUUUGGAAGUUGGGAAUAAUUAGGAUAAGGGGGAGGUAAUUUUUAGGACUCCCUUUUUCUUUUCUUCUACCAUUAUUUUUAAAGUAAUUAAAAGUUGAAGAUUUAAAACAAAUACCAUAAAUUCAUAAAAAAAUUAUUAUUAAAGUAAUUUACACAAUUUAUUUAUUUUUAUUUAUUUUAAAUAUAACCUUUUUUUAAAAAAUUGGUGUUAAAUCUUCAUAUUUUGGUAAAAAAUUAGGUGUUCACACCUAUUAUUCUCUAAACUUAUUUUAAAAGUAAUUUUCUAUCCCUUUUCGACAUACGUGGUACUAGUUUGAAAAAAAAGCCAAUCAGCGUUGGGCCCACAAGAUAGUAUCACGUAGGCCAAAAAGAGGUAGAAAAUUGUUAGUAAAUAAGUUCAGGGGUUAAUAGGACCGUAGUAUAAUAUAAGAGUGUCUAUGAGAUUUCGGUCAUACGUUAAGGGAGUGCUUGUGCAUUGUCCCUAAUAUUAAUUAGUAUAGGUAUUCGUGUGUUGUGCAGAUAUUUUAAAGGUAUAAUGCAUAAAUAUGUCCUUUAACUUGACUUCGAAUCACAUAUAUGCCCUUCAACUUUGGGUUUGCACAAAUAGACACUUAAACUUGUAUAAAGUUGAACAAAUAGACACACACGUCCUACAUGUCAUUUUUUAUCUUAUGUGGUGUCCUACAUGUAUUUUGCUAUGUAGGACUCAUGUGUUUGUUUAUUUAAAAGUUGGAUAGUUAAAGUGUUUGUUUGUGCAUUAUGAAAGUUGGAGAUCAAAGUUAAAAUUUGAAACCAAGUUUAGGAUCCAAUAUAUGUAUUAUGCCUAUUUUAAAAUAUAAUAAUUUAAAUUUAUGACUUUAAAAACGGAAAAGGGCCUAAAAUACCUUUGACCUAUCAGAAAUGGUAUAAAAGUACCCUCCAUUCACCUAUUGGUCCAAAAUACCCUCUUCAUCCACUUAUUGGCUCCAAAAUAUCCCUGUAAUCCACCUUGGGUUUAAAAUUGACCAAUUUUUUAACGAUUUAAAUUUAAACUAUUUAAAUAUUUUUUAAUAUAUUGGCUCUCAACUAUUUGUUAUAGUUUAACUUAUUAAUAUAAUUUAUAAAACAAUAUACUACCCACCAUUACUAAUUAAACUACACUCAAUUAAUAAAUCCGCUCCAUUACUAAAGCAACAACAGAAAAGCUACUACCAAUGAGUAUUUUUUAAAAAUUUGAGGCAAAAUUGUAUAUAUUAUACAUUCAAGUCCUCAAUCAAAACAUAUUAUAAUUCAAGUGUCUAAUUAAAAUUUACUGAUAACUUAAAAAUAUGACUAUGUUCAUCUUAAUUAUUCAUUCGUCUCAAUUAUGUGGUGUUACUUAAUAGAUAAAUUUUAUAAAAAAGAAUACAUUAAAGUUCUAAUAUUUAAAACUAAUAAUAAAUAUUUAUAAAAUUAUAUUUUAAAAAGUGCAUGAAUUAAUUCGGGAUGUACUACUUCUUCAUCUUUAAUCAUAAAAUACGAAUUCAAAUUUAAAAGAGAAUCCUAUUGAAAGCAGUCUCCUAAAUAAGCGGCUCAACCUAAAUUUAAUGAGAUUUCAAUUUGGACUCGAAUAAUUUUGAUUGUCAUUUUAAGGAAUAUGUAAUUUUGUCUUGUUUCAGUAGUGUUUAGGGCGAUUAUGAUAUUAAAAUUGAUUUAUUAAUUGAGUGGGGUUCAAUUAGUAUAUAAAUGAUAUUAUAAUUAAAUUAUAUCAAAUAGUUGAGCAACAAGUAUUUUUAAAAAAAUAUUUAAAUGGUUUAAAUUUGAAAAAGGAUAUUUUGCAGCCAAUAGGUAGGUGAAAAGGACAUUUUCGAGCGAAUAGGUGGAUUGAGGGUAGUUUUGUACCAUUUUCAAUAUUUCUAGGGUAUUUUAGGCUCUUUUCCGCUCUAAAAAAGAAUGAUAUAGUUUGAUUUAACAUAAAAUUUAAGAAAAUAAAAAACUUUUAAUUCUUUUUAUCCUAAAUUAAAAUUAUGUCAAAUUUAUUAAAAAAAUAUCAUUCUUUUUUAAACAAACUAAAAAAGAAAUAAAAAAUUAUUCCUUUAUUUAUAAGGUACAAGGGCAAAUGGAUCAAGAAAGUCAAGAGGUUCAACAAGGUCCAUGUUGUACCGAAUGUGGAAAUUGUCAAAAACCAAGGCAAAAUAUCCUACUACUAUUUGUUUUUUAUUCAAUUUAAAGAAAAGGAAAAAACAUAAUGUGAAAUUAAUAAAAAUGUAUUUUGUUUGUAAUGUAUUUUUAAAUGUUUUUAUCAUCAAUAUUUGAAUUUUAAAAUGUCCUUAGUAUUAUUAUCUCUAAAGAACUGCAAUAUUCUAUAUUUAAAAAAGGGCAUAUAUGUCUUUUAAUUCUCAUAAAAAAAAGAUCAGAAAUUAAAGAAAAAAUAAAAAAAACCCUAACAGAACAGCACAACACUGGAAAUCAGCGAUUUUAAAAAAGAAACAGAGAGCUCUUGUUCUACAGCAAACGAACGAAAGAGAAAAAUAAAUUGAAAAUUGAAAGUCUUAGUUCUCAAACUAAAUAGAGAGAUGGAAGAAGAAGGAGACGAAGGUAAGUUUCUAACUUAGUUUAAAGGUUGAAUUUGUAUCUUCCAUGACUAUAAGAUUGAGAAUUGAGAAGUUGAGAAACAUGGGUUUAGAAGAAAUAGAGGAAAUUUAUUUCAUUCUUAUGAACCAAGAUAACAUAGUCAAUGAUUUGAACGAUAAACUUUGGUAUUGUUCUUAUAUGCAAUGAAAGUUAUCAGGCAAUAAUGUUAGAUUGAUCUUUUUACAGUGAGAAUUAAUUGACCAAAAAGAGACUAUUUUAUGUGAUUAAAGUACUAAUUAAGUGAUUUGGAUAGAUUCCGAAUUAAUCAUGAAAUCUCUAGGGAUGAGUUUUUGUUAAUGUAGUAUGAAUUACCUAAACGAAGGAGUUAACACGAAAUUAUUAUGAAUGUGUUUAUAGUUUGACCAAAGGAAUUCACAUAGACUAUUCAAGUGAAGAGCUUGGUGUUUCAACACAAGUACAAUGAGUAGCAAUCUUACCACAAUUGAUGUUUUAUAAGUUGCAUGAUUUUCACGUGGUGUAUAAAGUAAUGUGUUAUUGAAUGUUUUGAACUUGCAUGUGGGACAAGUAUUUUACUAGAUAUGAUACCGGAAGAUUUUUUGAGAUAAUCUCAUUUUUACAAGAUAUGAUUACUGGUAUUGAAAAAGUUUUACACUUAUUUGAGAAAUAGUAUUUUGACAGUUGAUUGUUAAACUUUAAAAUGAUAUGAUUUAAUAAGAUUUUAAGUGCUCUGUUCAUUUUUAAAAUGUUUUUACUGAUUACAAGAAAAAUAUAAAUGAGAACAGACUUUGAUGAAUCCCGUUAGACCUGGUGCACCUUGUAUUUACUGAUUUCUUAUAAAGUCCUUGCUAGUGGGAGUGGAAUUAGUAUACUAUUACUGAUAUCCCUCGAGGAGGGAUCUACUGAUAUGAAUAUUUAACUCCUUUAUGAGGAGUUCGCUGUUAUUGAUUACUUCUUAUAAAGAAGGUCACUAUGAUUACAUGAUUCAUCUUUGAAAACCUCCCAGAUAUAAGCUUUGAUAUAAAAGUGUUUUUCUGAGUUUACAGCUAUAAGAUUUGAUAUGAAAUUGUUAUUUUACUGAGUUUGCUAUUAUGUAUUUACACUGAAUAUGCUCAUAUGAGGCAUACAAGAUUGAAUAUGGUUAUUUUUUUAAGAACAUUAUUUCAUCAUUAUGACUAUUAUAUUAGCAUGUUUUCUAAUUUGUCCCUCAUUAAAAUGGUUGUGGAUAAGUAUUAUUACUAACUGAGCUAGUGUCUCACUUCUCGCUAAUUGAUUUUUUACAGAGAAUUCAGGUGGUGUUGAGGAGGAUUUAUUGUUAUUCUUAUAGUAACCUGUAUUUAUAAGGUUAAUAAACAGAAACAGAAAUAAGAUAAAGCAGAAAAACAUAAAAUACAAGAAGUAAUCCGAAUCCAUAGAAACUACUGUGUGUCCUUAAGAAAUUUAAUCCCCUCACUGUACCCAAGGUUAUGGAUUAAUUUAUCCCAAGAUAAAACGGAUUAAACCUGUUAAAGAAAUAGUGGUACCUCAAAUUUCUUUAACUUCAGCGAACUUGAGAACAGCAACAAGUCACACAGACUCAGUCGAUCGACACUUUUGAUUUUAUUUGAGAGAAAAAUAAAUGCAGAAAAGGAAAAUUUUCAGUGUUUAAAAAAUCGAAAAUUGACUUUCUUUUAUAGCCAUUUUCAGCAAGAAACGUGUCUGUUCAGAGAAAUCUGUUCAGACCCGUUUAUUCCAAAAAGUUGUGUCUUUUGAAAAAAAUAACAACUUUUCGGAAAAAUGUGUCUGUUAGGAAAAUAACGACUUUUUUUGGAAAGUAACGACUUUUCGGAAAGAGCAACAACUUUUCAGAAUGUUACCGUUACCCGCAAAUUUAUAAGAGAUGAUAUUAACAGGAUUUAUUUGAUUUAACAAAAAUUGAUUAAACAAAUUUUGUCCAAAAAAUUUAUCAAUCAAUCACAUCAUUUGCCAAAUCUAAAUCCAAAUUCCAAGCCCAAGCCCAAGCCCAAGCCGAGGUCGAGCGAGCGACGACGACGCGAGGGGGCAUCUUAUUCUUAGCUCUUUAAGAAGUAAUGGAAGUGUUUCCUUAUAUAAGGACAACAAUUUUCCUUUGUUUUGUCGAUAUGGGAUAAAUGACUUUACAUUUGCACUUUGCAAAUGACUAUUCAUUUUCCCUCCAAAGCAUUUCCCUCACUUUUCAUAUUCUCUUUUUUCUUUUCCCAUUCACACUUGCUAAACCCCAACAAUCCCCUACAUGAAUGGGGAAGACUAUUAUUAAAACAUAUGCAUGAAAAAAAAACUUGUGUGUCUUGUAGGUAAAGGUUAAUUGCAUCUAGAUAAGUAGGUUUCCGUUUAAACUUUCCGUAGUGAACAUAUAUCGGAUAUACUCUGUCAAUCAUUAGAUUUGAUAUCUUUGAACCGUCGAGCUUUGGUGUAAAUCUAGACAACAUAUGUCACACAAUCAACCCUUGAACUGUUCUUAGUUCUCAUUGUUUUGUUCGUUUGAACCAUGAACACAUCUUGGAUAGUAAGUGCUUAAAGAAUUGGCCUUACCGGAUUCUCCUCGAAGCGGCUUACACUUCACACUUACAUAGGUGAUUUCUAAAUGUGUUAUCCCAUAGAUACACCAUUUGAUAUUCCCUGUAUUCAAACUUAGAAACCAUUAAAAAGUCCUUAUGUCUUUAUCCUGGUUACUAAACAUUGUCUCAUCAUGAGAAUGGACCAUAAAAUAAUAUUAAUUUUUUUUUCUUUUGAUAAUGUUGAACCGUCAUCAAUGACUUUGUUUUAUCUCCUUGAACCUAGAUCUUGGGAUAUCCAGCCUUCUAGGUAGAGUUACCACCACGAUGACUUGUUCUCGGCCAUAGUCCCAUUCCCGUCAAUGAUUUCUCAACUGCCUCUCUAUUUAGGCCUUUUGUAAGUGGAUCCGACACAUUAUCUUUUGACUUCACAUAGUCAAUUGUGAUAAUUCCACUAGAGAGUAGUUGUCUCACAGAAUUAUGUCUUCGUCUUAUGUGACGAGACUUGCCGUUAUACAUAAUGCUUCCAGCCCUUCCUAUUGCAGCUUGACUAUCACAAUGUAUGCAUAUAUGGGCCAUUGGUUUGGGCUAAAAUGGAAUAUCUUCUAAGAAGUUUCGGAGCCAUUCAACUUCUUCAUUUGUCUUGUCUAAUGCAAUGAAUUCAGACUCCAUUGUAGAGCGAGCUAUACAUGUUUGUUUGGAUGAUUUCCAAGAUAUUGCUCCUUCACCAAUAGUAAAAAUGUAUCCACUUGUGGAUUUUGUUUCAGUUGACCCAAUAAUCCAAUUUGCAUCACUAUAUCCUUCAAGAACGGCUGAAUAUUUGUUGUAAUGUAAAGCAUAGUUUUGAGUGUCAUCUAAGUAUCUCAAAACUCUCUUCAUUGUCAACCAAUGAUUUUGAUUAGGAUUACUUGUGUAUCGACUCAGUUUACUGAUAGCGCAAGUUAUGUCUGGUCGUGUACAAUUCAUGACAUACAUUAAGCUUCCCAAUACGCUAGCAUAGUCCAAUUGAGACUGACUUUCACCUUUAUUCUUUGCAAGAUGAAGGUUUACAUCAAUUGGAGUCUUUGCCCUUUUAAAAUUCAAAAAAUUUGAAUUUUUCAAGUAUCUUUUGAAUAUAAUGAGUUUGAGACAAUUCUAGACCAUUAGGAGUUUUAAGAAUUUUAAUUCCUAAUAUCACAUCAGCAACUCCUAAAUCUUUCAUAUCAAACUUACUAGCGAGCAUACGCUUUGUAGCUUUUAUAUUAGCAAUGUCUUUGCUCAUUAUAAGCAUAUCAUCUACAUAUAGUCAUAAAAUAACUUUCUGAUUUGGAGUAUCUUUAAUGUAAACACAUUUAUCACAUUCAUUGAUCUUAAAUCCAUUUGACAACAUGGUUUAAUCAAACUUUGCAUGCCAUUGUUUUGGUGCUUGUUUUAGUCCAUAAAGUGACUUAAUAAGUUUGCACACUUUCUUUUCUUUACCAGGAACUACAAAACCCUCAGACUGUUCUAUGUAAAUUUCCUCUUCAAGCUCUCCAUUUAAGAAGGUUGUUUUCACAUCCAUUUGAUGAAUUUCAAGACCGUAUGCUACAGCUGGUGCAAUUAACAUCCGAAUUGAUGUAAUCAUAGUCACUGGCGAGUAUGUGUCAAAAUAAUCAAGACCUUCUUUUUGUCUAAAACAUUUGACAUUAAGUCUUGCUUUAUAUUUGUCAAUAGUUCCAUCGUCUUUCAUCUUCUUUUUAAAGAUCCAUUUUGAACCCAAAGGUUUGUUCCCUGUAGGAAGAUCAACCAACUUCCAAGUAUGAUUACUUAAGAUUGAUUCUAUUUCACUAUUAACAGCCUCCUUCCAAGAGGUUGAGUCGCUAGACAACAUUGCUUCCUUGAAUGUUUGAGGCUCACUUUCAAGAAGAAAUGUUAUAAGAACUGAUCUAAAUAAAGUAGAUGUCUUUUGACAUUUAUUGCGUCUUGGACUUUCUUCAUUUUGUUCAUUCUCUUUUGGUUCUUCUCUGGGUUGUUUAAAUCCCCCACUAGAUGACUCAAGUCUAGUUUUAUACGGAUAGAUAUGUUCAAAAAAUUCAGCACUAUCUGAUUCCGUUACCGUAUUAUCAUGAAUAUCCGGAUGUUCCUACUUAUGAACCAAAAAUCGACAUGCCUUACUGUUUGUGGCAUAUCCAAUGAAUACACAAUCCACAGUCUUAGGUCCUAUUUUGACUCUCUUAGGUAUAGGAACUUGGACUUUGGCUAGACACCCCCACGCUUUGAAAUAUUUCAAAUUGGUUUUUAUACCUUUCCAUUUCUCAUAUAGAAUUACAUUUGUCUUUGAGUGAGGCACUCUGUUAAGUAUUUGAUUUGCUGUAAGGAUAGCUUCCCCCCACAAAUUCUGUGAUAAACCUGAACUUAUAAGUAAUGCAUUCAUCAUUUCUUUUAAAGUUUGGUUUUUCCUUUCUACAAUUCCAUUAGACUGAGGAGUGUAGGGAGCAGUAGUUUGAUGGAUUAUUCCAUUUCUAAACAUAUUUCUGCAAAUGGAGAUUCAUAUUCUCCACCUUUAUAACUUCUGAUCAUUUUGAUCUUUUUAUCUACUAAUUUUCAACUUCAGUUUUAUAUUGCCUAAAUGCAUCUAUUACUUCAUCCUUACCAUUUAGCAAAUAUACAUAACAAUAUCUCGUGUAAUCGUCAAUAAAAGUUAUGAAAUACUUUUUCCCACCACGUGAUGGUGUUGAAUUCAUGUCACAAAUAUAAGUGUGAAUCAAUUCUAAAAGAUUUGAAUUCCUUUCAACAGAUUUAUAAGAAUGCUUAGCAUACUUAGAUUCAACACAAAUUUGACAUUUUGAUUUAUUGCACUCAAAUUUUGGCAAAAUAUUUAAGUUAAUCAGUUUUCGCAAGGUGUUGUUAUUAACGUGUCCCAAACGUUCUUGCCAUAAACAUUUAGACUCAAGCAAGUAAGAAGAAGAAAAAUCUUUAUUCAUAUUAACUGCAAUUACAUUGAGUUUGAAAAGGCCAUCACUAAGGUAGCCUUUACCUACAUACAUAUCAUUUUUGCUUACUACUACUUUAUUAGAAACAAAUACACAUUUGAAUUCAUUCUUGGUCAGAACUGGAAUUGAAACUAAAUUCUUUCUCAAUUCUGGAACAUAUGAGACCCUAUUUAAAGUCACCACCUUGCCUGAUGUCAUCUUUAAUAAGACUUUGCCAGUUCCUUCCACCUUUACAACAACGGAGUUUGCCAUAAACAAUUUUUCAUCUGUAAGUGCUAGAGUAUAUGUGAAAAUAAUUCUUUGUUGGCACAAACAUGGCAUGAGGCACCAGAAUAUAUCCACCAUUCUCUUGGAUUUUCAACCAAGUUACAUUCUGAAAGCAUUGCACAGAGAUCGUCCAUUUCUCCUUUGGAUUUAGCCAAAUUUGCUUGAUCCUUCUUUUUCUUGUCCUUCUUUGGACCCCGACAUUCAUCAGCCCUAUGACCAUGUUUACCACAAUUAAAGCAGUUUCCAUUGAAUUUAUUCUUAGGAGGAUUGCUUUGGACCAGAUGCUUUCUUUCUUUUCUUUAAUUUUGUCUGAUCUUCUUCAACAAAAUUUACUCCAGCUAUUGCUGAAUCACCACAUGACCUCUUUUCUGCAGCCUUAUUAUCCUCUUCGAUUCUCAACCUUACUAUGAGAUCUUCAACAGUCAUCUCCUUGCGUUUGUGUUUCAAGUAAUUUUUGAAGUCCUUCUAUUAUGGAUGUAACUUUUCAAUAAUUGCAGCCACUUGAAAAGCAUCAUUUACAAUCAAUCCUACAUUAAGGAUUGUCACACCCCUUUUUUUUCCUUUCAAUAUUUUUUUAUUUUUAAUUUUUUAUUGUUUCGAAAGAAAAAGAGUUUUUCCAAUUAAAGUGACAUUUUGAAAAGGGAUAAUUAUUAUUCAGAGUCGCCACUUGGAAUUGAUUUUUGGUGUUCCAAGUCACCUUAUUUAAAUCCCUAAUCAAAAGGAAAAUUGGCUCUAUUUUUUAUUGGUCUGCGAACUAAAAAUCCGAGUAAGGAAUUCUGUUGACCGAGGGGAAGGUGUUAGGCAUCCCUCGAGUCCCGUGGUUCUAGCACGGUCGCUUCAUUGACUUUUAAUAUGACUAAACUUAAUUUUUGUACAAUGUAUUAUUUAACUUAAUAAUAAAAUUGUAUUUUAUUUUCAGAUUUAUUCUAAACUUAUUUUAAACUGACUAAUUUUGCUUUUACAUUUUUUUUUAUAUAUUUUUAUGUUAUUAUAGGGAUGAAUUAUAUAGGUAUUUUAUAGUUAGAAAAUAUUUAGAGUUCAUGUUAAUUUAGAAUUUCUAUUUUUUUUAAAAAAAAUAAUAGAAAGAUGAAAUUUUAUGAGAUUUGAAUUAGUUUUAAAAUCACAAAAAUUCUAAAUAGAUUAGGACUAUAUUUAUUUUUUUAAGAAAGGUUAAAUUUUAUUUUUUUAAUCUUUUAAUGCAUGUAACAAUUUUUAACAUUCUGUCUUCUUUUUUAAAAAAAAAUAAUUAUUAUUUUUAGAUUAAUUCUUUUUGUUUACGUUUGUUAUCUUUUUUGUGCUACAUUCUCUUUUUUUUUACUUUUUCUUUCUUUUUAUGUUUUUAACUUUUUUUUUCUUUUUACAUUUUUUAUUCUGAUUCUCCUUUUUUUCACGUUUUUUUUUUACUUUUUUUUUUUUAAAAAAAUUCUGUUUCUGUUUUUUUUUGGAAAAAUCUGCUUUUUUUAUUUUAUUUAUUUAUUUUAUUUUAGAUUUUAUAUAUAUAUAUAUAUAUAUAUAUAUAUAUAUAUAUAUAUAUAUAUAUAUAUAUAUAUUCCUUCUGUGUCACGACCCAAAUCGAACGCGACUGGCACCCACGCUUACCCUCCUAUGUGAGCGAACCAACCAAUCUAAACCUUAACAUUUCAAUGUAAUAACAACAGAAAGUAAUGCGGAAGACUUAAACUCAUUAAUAAAAACCAAUUCAAUAACUAUCAAUAUUCAACAUCUAUUAUUCCCAAAACCUGGAAGUCAUCAUCACAAGAACAUCUACCUUAAACUACUAAUUCAAAGAGUUUCUAAGAAGCUAAAAAUACAUAAGAAGCUAGUCCAUGCCGGAAGUUCAAGGCAUCAAGACAUGAAGGAGAAGAUCCAGUCCAAGCUAGAAGCAUUAGCUCACCCUGAAGAUCCGGUGUAACGAAGACUGGCUUGAGUUACUGUUGAGUCGAAGAUGACGGCACGUUUGCUGCACUCCACAAAUAACAAGAAGAAAAACAUAAAAGUAGGGGUCAGUACAAAACACGAGUACUGAGUAGAUAUCAUCGGCCAACUCAAAAUAGGGAACAGUAUAUAUCAAAUAUUAUCGUAAAUCAACUAUAAAACUCAACAUGUAGCAACAACAAGUACUAUAAUCAUCAAUAAGUACCAUCAAGUUCAUCCAUGAGGGCUCAAGCCUCAACACCAUACUCAUUUGGGAAUUAAGUAUAUUAAGUUGAGUAUAUUAUCAUCUUUCAAGAUUCAUUAUCUUUCCUCCUCUUGUGUCGGUACGUGACACUCCGAUCCCCUACUACUAUGUGUCGGAACGUGAUACUCCGAUCCCCUAAUUCUAUGUGUCGGAACGUGACACUCCGAUCCCCUAAUUCUAUGUGUCAAAACGUGACACUCCGAUCCCCUACAUGUGUCGGAACGUGACACUCCGAUCCCCUACAUGUGUCGGUACGUGACACUCCGAUCCCCUACAUGUGUCGGAACGUGACACUUCGAUCCCCUACAUGUGUCGGUACGUGACACUCUGAUCCCCUAAUUCUAUGUGUCGGAACGUGACACUCUGAUCCACUAAUACUAUGUGUCGGAACGUGACACUCCGAUCCACUAAUACUAUGUGUCGGAACGUGACACUCCGAUCCACUAAUAUCAUUCUGUAAAUCAUCAAGCCUUCUCUAUUCCAAGGCAUCAUCAAUCCCAUUACUUUAAUUCAUCAAGCCUUCUUCUAUACCAAGGCAUCAUCAUUAAUAAUGUAUAUUAAAGUUUCUUUUCAAGAUUUGGGAUUCAAUAUUUUCAUCAUGCUUAUCUUAUCACAAUCACAUAAUCAUAUUCAUGCAAACAUACCAUUAAGUAUAUAGUAGGGUUUACAAUACUACCAAUACAUAUCAUUCACUAUUAACAGUUUACUUAUGAAGCAUGAAAACCAUAACCUACCUUCACCGAAGAAUUGGAAUCAACAAGCAAUUUCCCAAGCUUUGAUAUUCCCUCUGCCUCUUGAUCGAUCAAUUUCUCUCUCUCCUUGUUCUCUCUAUUUUCUUUAUUCAAACCCUCUUUAUUUUACCCUAGUUAACAUAUAAUUAAGUGUAAAAGAUGGCAAUAAUACCCAACUAAUUAACUUAGGGUUACCUCUUUUAACCCCCAAGAAUUUGAGUUAUUAAUAUAAACCCACAAAAUCUAUAAUUAAGGAAGGAAUAGUCCAAAAACGUCCCUUAAAACGUGUAAGGAAAUCCGAUUCUGCCUGGGAUUUGUGCAACCUGUGACGGGCCGUCGUGCCUGCGACGGUCCGUCCUGCAGGUCGUCGCAAGAGUCAGAGAGUCAAUUUCCACUGAACAAUCUAUGACGGUCCGUCACGCCGGUGACGGUCCGUCCUGCCAUUCCGUCACGAAGUUCAGAGAGUCGAUUUUCAGUACCCAAUUUCAGAUUUUCUAAGUGUUUUGAAACGAGACCCUGCGACGGUCCGUCGUGCCCAUGACGGAUCGUCGUUUGGUCCGUCGCCUCAUCCUGUUUUUCCAGAAUUGAAGUUUGUUGCUCAAAACGACUAAACAGGUCGUUACAAUAGAUAUCAAUUUACCCAUCGUUCGUCCCGAACGAUCAAAAGAAGGAAAACAAGGGCGAAAAGGAGUACCUGAAUCUGUAAACAGAUGUGGGUAUCUUUCUUGCAUAUCUGCCUCCUUCUCCCAAGUGGCUUCUUCAACCGAUCGAUUCUUCCAUUGCACCUUGAUGGAUGCAAUCUCUCUUGACCUCAACUUGCGAACUUCUCUAUCUAAAAUAGCAACAGGAUCCUCCUCAUAAGACAAGUUCUCAUCAAGCAAAACGGAAUCCCAACGGAUAAUGUAGUUUCCAUCCCCAUGGUAUCUUUUCAACAUCGACACAUGGAAUACCGGAUGUACUCUGGACAGCCCUGGAGGCAAGUCUAACUCAUAAGCCACCUCUCCUACUCGCUUAAGUAUUUCAAAUGGUCCAAUGUACCUUGGACUUAGUUUACCCCUUUUACCAAACCGCAUCACCCCUUUCAUUGGUGAAACUUUCAACAAGACUUGUUCACCCUCCAUGAACUCUAAGUCUCUAACCUUUCGAUCUGCAUAUUCUUUUUGUCUACUUUGUGCCGCUUGAAUCUUUUCUUGAAUAGACUUCCCUUUCUCUAUCGAAUCCCUCAAAAGGUCAGUACCCCAAGGCCUAACCUCAAAUGCAUCAAACCAACCAAUGGGAGACCUACAUCUCCUACCAUACAAUGCUUCAAAUGGAGCCAUAUCAAUGCUUGAGUGAUAGCUAUUAUUGUAUGAAAACUCCGCUAAGGGUAGGAAGCUAUCCCAAUGACCACCAAACUCUAUCACACACGCACGAAGCAUAUCCUCCAACACUUGAAUCGUCCUUUCAGACUGACCAUCGGUCUGAGGAUGGAACGCAGUACUAAGGUCCAACCUAGUACCCAAUUCCGCAUGCAAUGUUUUCCAGAACUUAGAAGUAAACUGCGUACCUCUAUCUGAUAUGAUGGAUAGUGGAACCCCAUGCAAUCGCACCACUUCCGAGAUGUAAAGUUUGGCUAACUUCUCUGCAUUGUAAGUCACCUUAACCGGAAUGAAGUGAGCAGACUUAGUUAACCUAUCAACAGUUACCCAAAUAGAAUCAAAUUUUCCCAAUGUCUGGGAAGACCAACCACAAAGUCCAUUGCAAUUCUUUCCCACUUCCAUUCCGGAAUGGGCAUUCUCUGAAGGGUUCCUCCGGGCCUCUGGUGUUCAUACUUUACUUGUUGACAGUUUGGACAUCUGGCAAUAAAAUCAACAAUAUCACGCUUCAUUCUACUCCACCAAAAGUGUUGCUUUAGAUCACGAUACAUCUUGGUUGCGCCCGGAUGUAUCGAAUACUUUGAACUAUGAGCCUCUGUCAGAAUAGUGUUGAUCAGAUCAUCAACUCGGGGUACACAUACCCUUCCCUUGAUCCUCAAAACACCUUCCUCAUCAAUUUGUGCCUCCUUAGCCUCUCCUCGCAAUACCUUAUCUUGAAUUCUGCGCAGUUUCUCAUCAUCAGACUGUUUUCCCUUAAUCUUGUCAAGAAAGGAAGAUCUUGCCUCCACAGAAGCCAACAAUCCUCCCUUCUCAUUUACUUCUAAUCUCAUCAAGUCAUUAGCUAGAGUCUGAACCUCUCUAGCCAAUGGGCGUCUAGAAGCGUGCAAGUGAGCUAGACUUCCCAUGCUUCCCGCCUUUCUACUUAAAGCAUCCGCUACAACAUUCGCCUUCCCCGGAUGAUACAAAAUAGUGAUGUUGUAGUCCUUCAGUAGUUCCAUCCAUCUCCUCUGUCUUAAGUUCAAAUCUUUCUGAGUAAAGACAUAUUGAAGGCUACGAUGAUCCGUGUAGACCUCACACCUAACCCCAUAUAAAUAGUGUCUCCAUUGCUUUAAUGCAAACACUACCGCAGCCAAUUCCAAAUCAUGAGUUGGAUAGUUACGUUCAUGCACUUUUAAUUGUCUUGAAGCAUAAGCAAUCACACUCUUCUCUUGCAUUAGUACUGCACCCAACCCAGAAUAGGAUGCAUCACAAUAAACAAUGAAGUUCUUACCCUCUACUGGCAAGGUAAGGAUAGGUGCGGUAGUCAACAAAGUCUUGAGCUUCUGAAAGCUUUCCUCACAUUCGUCCGACCAUACAAAUGGAACAUUCUGCUUAGUCAAGCUCGUCAAUUGGGAAGCAAUAGAAGAGAAUCCCUUGACAAAUCGGCGGUAGUAGCUAGCUAACCCAACAAAGCUCCUUAUUUCUGACACAUUAGUGGGUCUUACCCAAUUCUUCACUGUUUCAAUCUUAGAAGGAUCCACCAUCACUCCUUCCUUAGAAACCACGUGCCCCAAGAAGGACACUGCAUCUAGCCAAAACUCACACUUAGAGAACUUGGCAUAAAGCUUUUUCUCCCUCAACAUUUCCAAUACCAUUCUCAAAUGUUCUUCAUGUUCCUUCUUGCUCUUUGAGUAUACCAAUAUAUCAUCAAUAAACACGAUCACGAAGAGGUCCAAAUAUGGCUUAAAAAUACCAUUCAUCAAGCUCAUGAACGCAGCAGAGGCAUUCGUAAGACCAAAAGACAUCACCACAAAUUCGUAAUGCCCAUACCUCGUUCGAAAAGCAGUCUUUGGCACAUCUGUUGCCCGUAUUUUCAAUUGAUGAUAACCGGAUCUCAAGUCAAUCUUAGAGAAGACACAAGCACCUUGUAACUGAUCGAACAAGUCAUCAAUGCGAGGAAGAGGAUACUUGUUCUUAAUAGUUACUUUAUUCAGUUGUCUGUAAUCUAUGCACAUCCGAAAACUCCCAUCCUUCUUCUUUACAAACAAAACCGGAGCACCCCAAGGAGAUGCACUUGGUCUAAUGAAGCCUUUGUUCAAUAACUCUUGAAGUUGUGCUUUUAACUCUCUUAACUCCGCGGGAGCCAUUCUAUAAGGGGGUAUAGAAAUGGGGCGAGCACCGGGUUCAAGAUCAAUACAGAAGUCAAUAUCCCUAUCCGGUGGCAUACCAGGAAGAUCUGCAGGGAACACAUCCAGAAACUCACGAACUACUGAAACCGACUCAAUCGAAGGUACUUGGGUAGUGUCAUCCUUGAGAUGUGCCAAGAAAGCUAAACACCCUUUACUAACCAUUUUCUUAGCACGAAGAAAGGAGAUGAUACGCACCGGAUUGGAAGUGUCGUCACCCUCCCACACUAACAGAUCUGUCCCAGGCUUGGCUAACGUCACGGUUUUAGCAUUACAAUCCAAGAUUGCAAAAUUUGGAGAAAGUCAAGUCAUACCCAGAAUUACAUCGAAAUCAUACAUUGCCAAGAUAACCAAAUCUACAUAAGUGUUGCUCCCCACAAAGUUUACCACACAAGACCUAUAUACCUUUUCAACUACCACAGACUCACCCACCGGAGUAGAAACACGAAUAGGCAUAUCAAGAAAUUCACAAUGUAAAUUUAGACCAUUAGCAAAUGAGGAAGAUACAUAAGAAAACGUGGAUCCAGGAUCAAACAAUACAGAAGCCAUGCAAUCACAAACCAGAAAAUUACCUGUGAUGACAGCAUCAGAUGUCUCCGCUUCAGACCGCCCAGGGAAAGCGUAACAAUGGGUCCUAUCGUUCGUCUGUCCGUUGCCCCUACCAUGUUGUGAUGUAGUGGCCCCAGUUUGCCCAUUACCUCUGCCGUUUUGGUGACCACCAUUACCUCGACCACCACGUCCUCCAGAAUAACGGCCUCUACCAUGACCACCUCUACCUCUAGCUAUUGAGGGUCUAUAACUUUGUCUGGGACAAUUUUUCCUAAUAUGUCCAAUCUCCCCACAUCCAUAACAUUCUCUGGAUUCAAUCAUAGGCCCCUCGGAGAAGUGUUGACCGGUCUGAGGUGGUCCCCCAACUACAGUCUGUAGUGAAGACUGAAUUGGUCGGACUGAGUAACUUCCCGAACCCUGUCCUCUAGUGUAAGAACCAUUAAACUCACCUCCCUUUCGAAGCCUUUUUGAUGUCGAUGUUGUGGUGAAGUCGUCUGGCUUCACUCCUUCCACUUCUAUCACAAAGUCUACCACUUCUUGGAAGGAUUUUGCCGUUGCCGCUACUCUUCCUCGAGCUACAGCCCCAGUGGCUGGCUCAGACGAUUCUUGUCUUGCCGAUGUUGGUGUUGGCGCAGUCGUUGAUCUAGUUCUAACCAUCUGCGAAAUAGAGUGAAGAUGGUUAGAUACCAAUUUGUAUCACCUAGAUACCAAUUGGAUCCAAGUAAUAGCACGAAAGAAAGAAAGAAUGGAAUUUUUCUAAAGUCUUGUAGCCUCUCAAAGAAAAGUAAAGGCGUCCCCCUACCGUUCCUUAAGACUCUACUAGACUCGUUCUUGUGUGAUGAGACCAACGAACCUAAUGCUCUGAUACCAAAUUUUUCACGACCCAAAUCGGAUCGCAACUGGCACCCACACUUACCCUCCUAUGUGAGCGAACCAACCAAUCUAAACCUUAACAUUUCAAUGUAAUAACAACAGAAAGUAAUGCGGAAGACUUAAACUCAUUAAUAAAAGCAAAUUCAAUAACUAUCAAUAUUCAACAUCUAUUAUUCCCAAAACCUGGAAGUCAUCAUCACAAGAACAUCUACCUUAAACUACUAAUUCUAAGAGUUUCUAAGAAGCUAAAAAUACAUAAGAAGCUAGUCCAUGCCGGAAGUUCAAGGCAUCAAGACAUGAAGGAGAAGAUCCAGUCCAAGCUAGAAGCGUUAGCUCACCUUGAAGAUCCGGUGUGACGAAGACUGGCUUGAGUUACUGUUGAGUCGAAGAUGACGGCACGUUUGCUGCACUCCAAAAAUAACAAGAAGAAAAACAUAAAAGUAAGGGUCAGUACAAAACACGAGUACUGAGUAGAUAUCAUCGGCCAACUCAAAAUAGGGAACAGUAUAUAUCAAAUAUUAUCGUAAAUCAACUAUAAAACUCAACAUGUAGCAACAACAAGUACUAUAAUCAUCAAUAAGUACCAUCAAGUUCAUCCAUGAGGGCUCAAGCCUCAACACCAUACUCAUUUGGGAAUUAAGUAUAUUAAGUUGAGUAUAUUAUCAUCUUUCAAGAUUCAUUAUCUUUCCUCCUCUUGUGUCGGUACGUGACACUCCGAUCCCCUACUACUAUGUGUCGGUACAUGACACACCGAUCCCCUAAUUCUAUGUGUCGGAACGUGACACUCCGAUCCCCUAAUUCUAUGUGUCGGAACGUGACACUCCGAUCCCCUACAUGUGUCGGAACGUGACACUCCGAUCCCCUACAUGUGUCGGUACGUGACACUCCGAUCCCCUACAUGUGUGGAACGUGACACUCCGAUCCCCUACAUGUGUCGGUACGUGACACUCCGAUCCCCUACAUGUGUCGGUACGUGACACUCUAAUCCCCUAAUUCUAUGUGUCGGAACGUGACACUCCGAUCCACUAAUACUAUGUGUCAGAACGUGACACUCCGAUCCACUAAUACUAUGUGUCGGAACGUGACACUCCGAUCCACUAAUAUCAUUCUGUAAAUCAUCAAGCCUUCUCUAUUCCAAAGCAUCAUCAAUCUCAUUACUUUAAUUCAUCAAGCCUUCUUCUAUACCAAGGCAUCAUCAUUAAUAAUGUAUAUUAAAGUUUCUUUUCAAGAUUUGGGAUUCAAUAUUUUCAUCAUGCUUAUCUUAUCACAAUCACAUAAUCUUAUUCAUGCAAACAUACCAUUAAGCAUAUAGUAGGGUUUACAAUACUACCAAUACAUAUCAUUCACUAUUAACAGUUUACUUAUGAAGCAUGAAAACCAUAACCUACCUUCACCGAAGAAUUGGAAUCAACAAGCAAUUUCCCAAGCUUUGAUAUUCCCUCUGCCUCUUGAUCGAUCAAUUUCUCUCUCUCCUUGUUCUCUCUAUUUUCUUUAUUCAAACCCUCUUUCUUUUACCCUAGUUAACAUAUAAUUAAGUGUAAAAGAUGGCAAUAAUACCCCACUAAUUAACUUAGGGUUACCUCUUUUAACCCCCAAGAAUUUGAGUUAUUAAUAUAAACCCACAAAAUCUAUAAUUAAGGAAGGAAUAGUCCAAAAACGUCCCUUAAAACGUGUAAAGAAAUCCGAUUCUGCCUGGGAUUUGUGCAACCUGUGACGGGCCGUCGUGCCUGCGACGGUCCGUCCUGCAGGUCGUCGCAAGAGUCAGAGAGUCAAUUUCCACUGAACAAUCUAUGACGGUCCGUCACGCCUGUGACGGUCCGUCCUGCCAUUCCGUCACGAAGUUCAGAGAGUCGAUUUUCAGUACCCAAUUUCAGAUUUUCUAAGUGUUUUGAAACGAGACCCUGCGACGGUCCGUCGUGCCCAUGACGGAUCGUCGUUUGGUCCGUCGUCUCAGCCUGUUUUUCCAGAAUUGAAGUUUGUUGCUCAAAACGACUAAACAGGUCGUUACAUUCUGUAAGUCUGCUUCUCUCUUCUUCUUUUUUUUUGUUUUAUCAUUAUUUUUAUUAUAUUAUUAUUUUAUAAUUUUUGUCCUCUUCUUUCUUUCUUUUUUUUCAAAUUAUUUCAUACUAAUUUUUGUUACUCUUUUUUUUAUUAUGUUAUUGUUUUUUUUUAAAACGUUCUAUUUAUAAAUUUUAAAUUUUUAUUUUUAUUUUUUAUUUCUUACUUCUCCCCCUUUUUUUUUACGUUUUAAUACAUAUUUUUUUUGAAUUUACGUUCUUUUUUUUUGUUUAUGUUAAAAAAUUUUGUUAUUUUUUUUUCUUAUUAUUAUAUUUUCAUGCCCUUUUUUUUCUUUUUAUUUUUUAAAUCUCUUUUUUCUUUAUGUAAUUUCUCAAUUUUUACUUCUGUUAUUAUUAUUAUUAUUAUUAUUAUUAGUAAAUAAUAUUAAUCUCUAAAUGAAAUUUAUUUACCUUUUAAUUACAAUUCUACUUAGAUUAGUUUUUCUUUUUGAAAAAAUUAUUUAUUAGUUAUUAUUUUUAUAUCCUAAUCUAACCAGUCUACAAUUUAUUCAACAAAAAUCUCUAAAGUGAAAAUAGACGAAAAAAUAUAUUAAUCUAUUUAAAUUCAACAACUCAAUAUCAUGAAGUAACAUAAAUUGCAAAAUCUAUCUAAAAACAUAAUAAUAGUAAUAACGUAACAAUAAUAUAAUACAUGUGAUUUGAAGUAUUUCAUGCUAUUAAAAUCAACUUUUCAUAGAAGUAGUAUUAUUUAAAUUACGCGAGAAUUUACAGUUACCUCGCUGCGAAAAUUGAUACCACAAAAGCGAGCUGUAUCCACAAAUUCGGAAUCACGAUCAAAUCUCUAACUCUAACCUAAUUCUCAAAAGAAAUAACUCGUUUUUUUCCUAUAUUUCUCUCUGUAUUUUUCUCUAUAUCUCUCUUUUCCUCUCUGUAUUUCUUUGUAUCUGUGUAUCUGUGUAUAUUUACAUCUCUCUGUAUUUUUUUUCUUCUCAACUGAACGUGUUUUUAUAAUAAUUUUGGCUGAGAGUUUAGUGUUAAUUAAAAGGAUAGUAAUAGAGUUGGAUUAUGAUUUAAUUUGAAAUGUUGUUGAGGGGAUUGGGGUUGAGAUAAGGAUGGAUAUAAAAUAAUUAAAUAAUAAUAAUAGAAAAUUAAAAAAAAUAAAAAAAAGUGAAAUGAACGUCCAAAGAGAGAGAGAAGAAAAAAAAUAAAAAAUAAAUGGGAUGGGAUUUUUUAGUAAAAUAAGUUAGGAAGUUGGGAAUAAUUAGGAUAAGGAAUAGGUAAUUUGAAUAUUUAGGACUCCCCUUUUUUUCUUUUUCUACCAUUAUUUUUAAACUAAUUAAAAGUUGAAGAUUUAAAACAAAUACCAUAAAUUCAUAAUUUUUAUCAUUAAAGUAAUUUAUACAAUUUAUUUAUUUUUUAUUUAUUUUAAAUAUAACCUUUUUUUAAAAAUUGGUGUUUGACUCUUUAUAUUUUGGUAAAAAAUUAGGUGUUCACAGUAUGCCCCUCUUUGUUUAAAAACAUGAAAAGUUUUCAUGCAAAGACGUGAACAAUGUGACUAAUUUUUUACUGAAAUAUUUAUGCGAAAAAUUUAUAGUAGAGAAGAAGUUUGACUGUAUCCUAACUUUUUAAAACUACCUAUCCUAUGUUGAGAUGAUAAGGAGUCAGGCGUAGUUCCAAUGAGUUAGGUAGCCGAGUGAGGUUUUGUCGAGAUUCCGGUUCGUAGCUCCAGCUAUUACAAAAAAACAACAUGCAAAAGAAAAGAUAUGAAAUCCUAUCUACUCCAUAGUGUCAAGUCUUCAUUUUGGAUUCUUAGAUAUCGCUUCACCCUCUUUGGUAGGUUCAUCGAUUCCGAACUUCGCUUUGGACAUCUGAGUUUAAGACUUGAAACUUCAUGACUUGACUUCAGCUACUGACGUUCUCCCGCAUGAUAUUCUUGAAAUCUUAUUUUCUUGAAAGGAUGAAUUCUUUUAUUUUUGAACUGCAAAUUUGUGUACUAUGUAGAAACCUGCACACAAAAACAAAAUUUUCUACCUAGUUUGUACUAGGAAUUUUGUGAGUUAUUGAUUAAAGCUAUAAAAAUCUAUACUAAUAAUAAAAUAAUAUUUUUGUAGCCUAUUACAAAAUGUAAAACAAAAAAUAAGACGAAAGUGAGUUUUGUACCCAAAUUGCAAUCAGGGGUUAUUAUGCUCUGUGGAGACAUAAAAAAUAAAAUAGGGGUUACUGUGCCCUAUAUGCAACCCAGAGGUUAUUGUGCCCUGUGAGACAUGAAAAAUAAAAUAGGGGUUAUUGUGCCCUAUAUGCAACCAGGGGUUAUUGUGCCCUGUGAAGACAUGAAAAAUAAAAUAGGGAUUAUUGUGCCCCAUAUGCAACCAGAGGUUAUUGUGCCCUGUGAAAACAUAAAAAAAAUGAUAGGGGUUAUUGUGCCCUAUAUGCAAUCCAGGGAUUAUUGUGCCCUAUGAAGAAAUGAAAAAUAGGAUAGCGGUUAUUGUGCCCUAUAUGCAACCAGAGGUUAUUGUGCCCUGUGAAGACAUAAAAAAUGAUAGGGGUUAUUGUGCCCUAUAUGCAAUCUAGGGGUUAUAGUGCCUUGUGAAGAAAAAAAAUGAUAGGGUAAAUGUGCCCUAUAUGCAACCAGGGGUUAUUGUGCCCUGUAAAGACAAAAAAAAUGAUAGGGGUUAUUGUGCCCUAUAUGCAAUACAGGGGUUAUUGUGCCCUGUGAAGACAUGAAAAAAAUGAUAGGGGUUAUUGUGCCCUAUAUGCAAUCCAGGGGUUAUUGUGCCCUGUGAAAAAAAAAUGAUAGGGAUUAUUGUGCCCUAUAUGCAAUCCAGGGGUUAUUGUGUCCCGUGAAGAAAAAUGAUAGGGGUUAUUGUGCCCUAUAUGUAAUCCAGGGGUUAUUGUGCCCUGUGAAGACAUGAAAAAUAGGAUAGGUUUUUUUUUUUACUUAUGUUAUUAUUAUUUAUUAUUAUUUUAUUUUAUUUUAUUUAUAUUAGUAUAUUGACCAAUUUAAAAAUAAAAUAAAAUGCCCCAGAUUUUAUUAAGAAAAAAAAUAAUUCAUUUUUUUUUGCAUAUUAUAUGAGAGACAAGGAUAAAAAAACUUACCAUCGCGGCGUUUGUCUCUAGCGAAUUACUUGCAUGAUUUGUCUUUAUAGCUCUUUCAGCCUAUAACUUUAGUUCUAUCUUUAUUGUGCUCAUGCCAAGACGGAAUGUCAUCAUUUUAUAAAUGGUAUCAUUCGUGAUUUUUUUACCAAGUAGACAUUCUUAUAUUUUUUACUGUCGUCUUAUGUUUCUCUCGAGAGUUUUCACUCAUAAGACCCUUUUAUUUUUUUUUAUUUUUUAUUUUCUAUUUUUUCUAUAACAUACCAUAGGCUACAAUGUCAUGUUUCAACCUUGUAGAUUUUAAAUAGCAUGAUCAUUAUUUUAUUGAGUGAUUAGACCGAACCUCAAUGAAAGGCUACCUACAUAUCCUCUUAGGAAUCAGGUCGAACGUAGUUCAACAAAAAAUAUUUUUCUUUUUUUUAAUUUAUUUUUAAAAAUAUAAUGGAAAAAUUGGAAAAAAAAUUAGUUCAUGUUUGAUAGUGCUUUGACGUUAGUUGGUACCAACAAUUAGUAUUAUGCAUAUGAACUACAUUCAACGACUUUCAAAUAAAUUUGAGGUCAACUUUGAAUAAUUUAUAUAAUUUCAAAUUGUAUCUCAAAUAUAUUUAAGUAAUUACAAGAUCAAUUUAUCUUGUCAAAAUUAAGGGAUAGAAUUAUUCGUAUCCUCAUGUUUCAAAUGCACUCUCAAUAUAUGAAAGUCCUACUUCACACAAUAUAAUAAUUUAGAUCGUAGGACAUUUUUGAAAGUCACUCCCACUCAGAAAGAUAUUCAAUGCAUGAGAUUAAGAUACCAUAUGCUUGGCCCUCAUGUAAGCAUCCACUAAUAUGAGAACAUAAAAAAUGAGAUCAAAUAGGACUUGUCAUUGGCUUGUAAUGUAGUCUUAGGGAAAGGUAGGAUAUUCAUUUGAGAUAAAGUGACUAUUUCCUCCUUAAAAUUCGCACGAUGCUUUUGAUAUUUUUUUUUUCGUUUUUGCAUUUGACCUUUGUUUUCUUGUAAGGUCUUUUCCAUUUAUUUUUUCUCUCUUCAUUUUUUGAUCUUCUCUCCUUUUUGUUGGAGUUUUUUUUUUUCAUUUUUCAUUCUAUCUUUUUUUUUGGACAUAUUUGGUCUUUUUCACUUUGUUAUCCAACUUAGAUCUUUGAUGUUAUAUAGAUAUUUCCUAGUGCGCUCAAGGAGGUGAGAUAAAUGGAUUAGUGCAUUUAUACACUCAAAAGGUAUAUGCUAAGAUAUGGUUAUUCUAAUAAAAAACUUCCAGGGUCGAAAUGGGAUGUAGAUAAAUGUUAUUCGGUAGGCUUGAAAGGCACAAUUGAUUCAAAGAAAGCCUAUAAUCCUUUCUCAAGUUAAAUGUUGCUCAAAAUUUCGUCUCAACCAACAUUCGGGCCAAGUUCUAGAUCAGCAAAAUCAUGACUUUGAAUUUUACGUCUAAAGCUCACCACACAAUGCAUUUGAAACAAUGAGGUCAAAUUUAUUUUAUCCAUAACUUUAAACAAGAUAAUUUCUCAAGUAUGACAUAAAUGUAUUGAGAGAUGUCAAUAGAAGUCUAUAGGUCACAACAAAGUUGAUCUGUCUUACCAAAUAGUUUAACACUUUAUUUUUUCUUUCUUAUGCAUAAUCCUAAGCAUGUUGUUACCAACCAAGUCAAAGAAAAAAAAUCUAUUUUUUUGCCCCAGUUUAUGUGACUAGAAUUUUUAGGUUUUUUUUUCUCGGUUGGACCGAACCUCACAAUAAGGUUGCCUACGUAUCUCGUUAAAACAAGAAUCAGGUCUAACGUAGUUCCAAAAUAUAAGUAAAAAUAUGUUUUCUUAAGGAAAAAUUUCCUUUUUAAUAUAUACACAUAUUAUUUCAUUUUUUAAUUUUUAAAUAAUAAUUAAGAUAUUUUUUUGAAUUUUUUAAUUUUUAAAUAAGGAUCACCGAACCCAAGGAAGGUUGCCUACGUAUCUCAUCAAGGUGAGAAUCAGGUGUGCGUAGUUCGUUCAGAUUGAACACUAAAAUAUUUUUUGUUAGAAAUUUAUUGACAAAUGCAAUUUUUUUUCUUCGUUUAAAGUGAUAUAAGAAAACUUUUAAAAUUUCUUUUUGUGAACUUUACAUUGUAAAAGAAAAAAAACUUUUUCUAUUAUUCUGAUUUUAAUUUAAAAUGGUAAAUUGAGUUAUUUAUCUAGAUAGAUCCGAUCAUAUGUAAAGUCUUUCAUUAAAUCAUAUGUAAAUGAUUCAAAUAAUGAAGUCUAUUAGGAACUAUUACAUUUGGUUUCAGUUAUCAUGUUUAAACUCGUGGAGAAAAGUAUCUAGACUGGCUAUAAAACGAGCUGACAACUCGAGUUAGGAAGUAGCAACGUACCGGUAGCAGCACUUUCCGGCUUUGUGCAUGGGUGCUCCCUAUCCUAAAUAUGUGUGAUUAAAAAUCCUUCACCAUGGACCGAAGAUCCACUGGCUAUAUUGACAGAAAUGGGGUGCAUAGUUGCAAUUCCCAUCAUAUUAUUAUUGAAGACUUAGUAAAAUUCGCGAGAGAUCACAAUUUAUAUGCAGAUCAAAUAAUAUCAUACAUUAAAUAAGUAGACAAUUUACACAUUAAGACAAAUAAAUACAAUAUCCCAAAAUGUAAAUAAUAAAUCAUAGUCAUACAUAAAUCAAUAUUGAAAGCUCGAAUUCUAGUUAAUCCCCAGCGUAGUCGCCAUCUGUCACACUCCUUUUUUUUCCUCUCAAUAUUUUUUUAUUUUUAAUUUUUUAUUGUUUCGAAAGAAAAAGAGUUUUUUCAAUUAAAGUGACAUUUUGAAAAGGGAUAAUUAUUAUUCAGAGUCGCCACUUGGAAUUGAUUUUUGGUGUUCCAAGUCACCUUAUUUAAAUCCCUAAUCAAAAGGAAAAUUGACUCUAUUUUUUAUUGGUCUGCAAACUAAAAAUCCGAGUAAGGAAUUCUGUUGACCAAGGGGAAGAUGCUAGGCAUCCCUCGAGUCCCGUGGUUCUAGCACGGUCGCUUCAUUGACUUUUAAUAUGACUAAACUUAAUUUUUGGACACUGUAUUAUUAAACUUAAUAUAAAAUUGUAUUUUAUUUUCAGAUUUAUUCUAAACUUAUUUUAAACUGACUAAUUUUGCUUUUACAUUUUUUUUAUAUUUUUAUGUUAUUAUAGGGAUGAAUUAUAUAGGUAUUUUAUAGUUAGAAAAUAUUUAGAGUUCACGUUAAUUUAGAAUUUCUAUUUUUUUUAAAAAAAUAAUAGAAAGAUGAAAUUUUAUGAGAUUUGAAUUAGUUUUAAAAUCACAAAAAUUCUAAAUAGAUUAGGACUAUAUUAAUUUUUUAAGAAAGGUUAAAUUUUAUUUUUUUUAAUCUUUUAAUGCAUGUAACAAUUUUUAACUCUUCUUCUUUUUUUAAAAAAAUAAUUAUUAUUUUUAGAUUAAUUCUUUUUGUUUACGUUUGUUAUCUUUUUUGAUAUAACUAAUUUUUAUUUUUAUUUUUUUUUACGUUCCUUACUAAAAAAAUAAUUUUGUGCUACAUCCUCUUUUUUUUUUUUACUUUUUCUUUCUUUUUAUGUUUUUAACUUUUUUUUCUUUUUACGUUUUUUAUUCUGAUUCUCUUUUUUUUUCACGUUUUUUUUUACUUUUUUUUAAAAAUUCUGUUUCUGUUUUUUUUGGAAAAAUCUGCUUUUUUUCUUAUUUUAUUUAUUUAUUUUAUUUUAGAUUUUAUUUAUAUAUAUAUAUAUAUAUAUAUAUAUAUAAGAGUCUGCUUCUCUCUUCUUUCUUUUUUUUUUGUUUUAUCAUUAUUUUUAUUAUAUUAUUAUUUUAUAAUUUUUGUCUUCUUCUUUCUUUCUUUUUUUUUUUCAAAUUAUUUCAUACUAAUUUUGUUACUCUUUUUUUUUAUUAUGUUAUUGUUUUUUUUUAAACGUUCUAUUUUAUAAAUUUUAAAUUUGUAUUUUUUAUUUUUUUAUUUCUUACUUCUCCCCCCCCCCCCCUUUUUUUUACGUUUUUAUACAUAUUUUUUUUGAAUUUACGUUCUUUUUUUUUUGUUUCUGUUAAAAAAUUUUGUUAUGUUUUUUUUUUCUUAUUAUUAUAUUUUCAUGCCCUUUUUUUUCUUUUUAUUUUUUAAAUCUCUUUUCUCUUUAUGUAAUUUCUCAAUUUUUACUUCUGUUAUUAUUAUUAUUAUUUUUAUUAUUAUUAUUAUUAGUAAAUAAUAUUAAUCUCUAAAUGAAAUCUAUUUACCUUUUAAUUACAAUUCUACUUAGAUUAGUUUUUCUUUUUGAAAAAAUCAUUUAUUAGUUAUUAUUUUUAUAUCCUAAUCUAACCAGUCUACAAUUUAUUCAACAAAAAUCUCUAAAGUGAAAAUAGACGAAAAGAUAUAUUAAUCUAUUUAAAUUCAACAACUCAAUAUCAUGAAGCAACAUAAAUUGCAAAAUCUAUCUAAAAACAUAAUAAUAGUAAUAACGUAACAAUAAUAUAAUACAUGUGAUUUGAAGUAUUUCAUGUUAUUAAAAUCAACUUUUCAUAGAAGUAGUAUUAUUUAAAUUACGCGAGAAUUUAUAGUUACCUCGCUGCGAAAAUUGAUACCAUAAAAGCGAGUUGUAUCCACAAAUUCGGAAUCACGAUCAAAUCUCUAACUCUAACCUAAUUCUCAAAAGAAAUAACUCAUUUUUUUUCUAUAUUUCUCUCUGUAUUUUUCUCUAUAUCUCUCUUUUCCUCUCUGUAUUUCUUUGUAUCUGUGUAUAUUUACAUCUCUCUGUAUUUUUUUUCUUCUCAACUGAACGUGUUUUUAUAAUAAUUUUGGCUAAGAGUUUAGUGCUAAUUAAAAGGAUAGUAAUAGAGUUGGAUUAUGAUUUAAUUUGAAAUAUUGUUGAGGGGAUUGGGGUUGAGAUAAGGAUGGAUAUAAAAUAAAUAAAUAAUAAUAAUAGAAAAUUAAAAAAAUAAAAAAAAGUGAAAUGAACGUCCAAAGAGAGAGAAGAAAAAAAAUAAAAAAUAAAUGGGAUAAGAUUUUUUAGUAAAAUAAGUUAGGAAGUUGGGAAUAAUUAGGAUAAGGAGAAGGUAAUUUGAAUAUUUAGGACUCUCCUUUUUUUCUUCUUCUACCAUUAUUUUUAAACUAAUUAAAAGUUGAAGAUUUAAAACAAAUACCAUAAAUUCAUAAUUUUUAUCAUUAAAGUAAUUUACACAAUUUAUUUAUUUUUUAUUUAUUUUAAAUAUAACCUUUUUUAAAAAAUUGGUGUUGGACUCUUUAUAUUUUGGUAAAAAAUUAGGUGUUCACAAGGAUUAUGUGAGUAUUAAGGGAAAACUUAAUAUUUCUAACAUAGACAUUAAAUAAAUUUAUACCUUCAGCAAUGAGGUCAUGGAUUAUGACCUGCAAUUCUUGAACUUGGGUGACGACAGUCUUACUGUCUAUCAUCUUAUAGUCCAGAAUUUUUGUCACAAUGAAUUUCUUCAUUCUGGCAUCUUCUGUUUUAUAUUUCCUUUCUAAAGCAUCCCAGAGUUGUUUUGAGGUUUUGGCAUUGCUGUACACAUUGUACAGAUCAUCUUACAGAUCACUCAAAAUAUAAUUUUUACACAAAAAAAUCUGAGUGUGUCCAUGCUUCUGUUACCAAGAAUCGUUCAUCAGCCGGAGUUUCAUCUGAUAUAACAGGAACAUUCUCAUUAAUGAACUUCUGCAGACUCAACAUAGUGAGAUAGAAGAACAUCUUUUGUUUUCAUCUCUUAAAGUUGACUCCAGAAAACUUUGUAGGUUUCUCAGUCGGCUCUAAGGCAGUAUUUGAACGAUUAUGUGCAACCGAUGUUGUAGCAGCACUUACUGUUCCAAUAUUUAUUUGACUUGAAUCAGUCAUUUUUUUCUGUCACAAAUGACAGAUAAGUUAAGUAUUUGAAAUACUAACAGUAAAUAACAAAUCUUUACACAAACUGUUUAUGAUUAAACGAUAAAGUUAUUAUGUUCUUUUAAUCGUUAAUCGAAUGAAUUUUAAAAAUUCAAGCAGAGUAGAAAAUCAUAAAGGUUUUAAUCUCCAAAAACCUCAAAUACAGAAACUUUUAAAUUUCUUAAGAUUGUUAUUCUUAUAGUAACCUGUAUUUAUAAGGUUAAUAAACAGAAACAGAAAUAAGAUGAAGCAGAAAAACAUAAAAUACAAGAAGUAAUCCGAGUCCACAGAAACUACUGUGUAUCCUUAAGAAAUUUAAUUCCCUCACUGUACCCAAGGUUAUGGAUUAAUUUCUCCCAAGAUAAAACAAAUUAAACAUGUUAAAGAAAUAGCGGUACCUCAAAUUUCUUUAACUUCAGCGAACUUGAGAACAACAACAAGUCAUACAGACUCAGUCAAUCGACAGUUUGAUUUUAUUGGAGAGAAAAAUAAAUGCAGAGAAGGAAAAUUUUCAGUGUUUAAAAAAUCGAAAAUUGACUUCCUUUUAUAGCAAUUUCAGCAAGAAACGUGUCUGUUCAGAGAAAUCUGUUCAGACCCGUUUAUUCCAAAAAGUUGUGUCUUUUGGAAAAAAUAACAACUUUUCAGAAAAAUGUGUCUGUUAGGAAAAUAACGACUUUUUGGAAAAUAACGACUUUUCGGAAAGAGUAACAACUUUUCAGAAUGUUACGUUACCCGCAAAUUUAUAAGAGAUGAUAUUAACAGGAUUUAUUUGAUUUAACAAAAAUUGAUUAAAUAAAUUUUAUCCAAAAAAUUUAUCAAUCAAUCACAUCAAAAUCUGAAAAGCCGAAGCUGAGCGACGACGACGGCGCGAGGGGGUAUCUUCUUCUUAGCUCUUUAAGAAGUAAUGGAAGUGUUUCCUUAUAUAAGGACAACAAUUUCCCUUUGUUUUGCCGAUAUGGGAGAAAUAACUUUUCAUUUGCAUUUUGCAAAUGAGUUUUCAUUUUUCCUCUAAAGUAGUUCCCUCACUUUUCAUAUUCUCUCUUUUCUUUUCCCAUUCACACUUGCUAAACCCCAACAUUUAUUUAACUAGAGAAUAAGAUUUGGUUGCAUCUGGUGAGUCUCGCAUUGCUUCAUGUGGAAAGAGACCAUUUGAUUUGCUAUGUUUAUUUAGUUUCCUUAAACUCUUAGAGUCGCUCCAUUUGUCAGUUCUUCUUUAGAGUCAUGAUAUUCUUUCAAAUUGUAGUUCAAGUGACUAGUUUGAACCUCUUUUUUUAUAGUUGGAGAUAAAUUAGUUUUAUUGCGUGACAAUUAAAUCAUUGAUGGAUAUUAUUUUGUGGUCUACAGUUGUUAUUAGUUGGGUUGUGAAUUUGUAAGACAUGAAAAGUUCAGGAUAGACAUAAAAACAAAGGAAACUCUGCCCAAUUUUCUAUAAAAUCCUGAUAAGGCUUGCUUUGGGGUUCUCCUCCUUAGCGUCGGUCAUGAUCCUUGAUUGGGUCGUGACAAAGAACCUUAUUCUUAUUUUCUUUCUUUUGUAGUUAUGGAUUAUGAACGAAAUUUUUAGGAGCUUUUGCAAAUUUGUUAUUAUAAUAAACUUAAUUAUGUUUAAUAGUUAUAGUUUGCAUAUUUAUGGAUUGUAACUACAGUUUAAGUAGCCUCUUUGCAUAAUUUGCGGGUAUAUUUAUAUAAUUAAGUUAUUUUUAUAAAAUUAAAUUUAUACAAUUACAAACAUCAUAAGUGUAAACAGUUAUAUAUAAAAAUUAUAUUAUACAAAUUCUGAAUGAAACCUGGAGUAAUUGUCAAAUCUAUAUUAAUUUGUAUUUAUUUUAAAUAGGUUUAAAGAAUGGUUACAAGUAAAUGAAAAUAAGGGAGGUAGACGUAAUAUCGUAAACCAAAAGGGAGUUGAGUGUUAUAGAGCGAAACAUAGAGGUCUCUGAAAUUAUCCCUAUAAAUAUUAUAAAAAUAAUUUUAUUUUGAUUUGAAUAACAAGUAUUAACAUUAACAUCAUUAUAUAUUGGGUUGACCCUUCAAGCCUGUGGCCACAUACUUGUGGGUUGAACCCACUAUUUUUUAACCCAUGCAAAAAAUGAACUAAUCCAUUCUGACCCGUAAAAUAUCAAAAUCCAUAUGAAUUAACACAAAUAGAGUAGGCUAGCCCAUAUUUACAUCUCUACUUUUAAACCUUUGUAAGAUUUGGAAAAUUGGACGAGUGGCUGAAUACAAAUUGUUGGGCGCCCGCGAAGUAGGGAUUAAAAGUCAAAUUCCUACAAAAAUAUUCGCUAAAAUAAGUCCCAAUAAAACCAAUAUAUAUAGCAGUAUUGCGUUCGCCGUUUCAACUCCAUUCACCCCUCUUUCUCAUCAUCAUCUCCUCGUUCUUCUCCUCUACACGAGGCGAGUCGAACGAAGGUACAAUUUCUCUCUUUCUCUAAUGUCUAAAUAUAGAUCGUUUACUUUUAUUCAUUUUUUCAGAUUUUUUAUCUCCGUUUUGCUUAUGUAUAUGUAUUCAUUUUACUGUUUUUAGCUGUUUUCUGAUUAGAUCUGUAAUAUAUAGUGAUUGUUCUGUUUCGUAACUUUAGUGCGGUUCAUUCUGAGUAUUUUUUAAGGUGUUACGGAGAUCUGCUUUUGUUUUUGCUAGAAAUGUGAUUUAGUUUAAUGGAUCCAAUCGUAUUUGUGUUUUUCGAUGUUUUUAUUAGUUGUGGAUGAGUAUUUUGACUGUUGAGUGGGCAGAUCUGGUCAAUGAGUUAUAGUAUUGCUAUGUUCAUUCAUUAUGCUGCUCCAUGGGCAAACGUCUAGUAAUUUUAACUAGUUUUUUUUAACUAAACGUAGUAUAGAAUUGCUGGUUGUAGUACUUUAUAUAGUCCCUCAGUUUAUGUGAUUGUAGUUGACUAGGGUUGACUAGUCACUGAGUCCAAGAAAGAAUAAUUUUUGAAACAUCUGAUCUAAAACAAGCUAUGUAUAUGUUUUUGUGGCUAUAACUAAUCUAAUUGGUAAUAUGAGAAUUAAAUUGUUUUUUAUCAUGAGAAAUUUGACAGACAAGAAAGGAGGUACUAUCAACUUAAAUUUGGGGCAGAGAGAGUAAUUUUAUUAAUGAAUUGUGAGUUGAUUCAUAUGCGAAUUUAGCAUUGAAGUUGAAUCAGGGGAAUCUGUCUAUCUGUAUAUAUUAGAUUUGUCUUAUGUCCUAUAAUUAUAAGACUCAAUCACUGCCAGCAUGCUAUGCAUACUGUUAGUACUUUGUGGACAAGAUAUAAAAAAAAGAAGUUAUUAUUGUUGGCUGAAUAUCAGCCAUAUGUAUAAAGUAUUAUAUGUAUUGUUGUGUUGGCUAAAUAUCAGUCGUAUGUAUAAAGUAAGAGUCUUUUUAUUUUUGUCGUCUUGCGUCGGCUGAAAAAAACCAAAUGUACAAAAGUCGUAAAGUAAAUAAUUUGUCGGCCAAUCAUGUAAAAAGUUUGUUGGUCAAUUAUGUAAAGUAAAUAGUAUGACGGUGUAAUUUAUGUGUAUAAAUAGAGGAGCUUUCCUCAUAAAUAAAACACACCUUCAUCCUUACAUCUCUCAUCUUUCUGAAUACCCUCUCUUUACGCUUCCACCCCAAAAUUGGUAUGGUCUGUUUGUUAAUCUAAAUUAGCCAAUGAAAUUGGAAUUGAUGCAAUGCAAAAAAUGUAAAUCUAAUUCUUUUUUAUUUUUUGAGCUCUUGCUAAUUGUGAAAGUUAUGCUUUUGGUGUGAAGUUGGUUGGUUGAGCUCCUAAAAUAUUUUGAGAUCUUACUUGAACAAGAUUUAUCUUGAGACUUUAAACCUAAAAUUUUGAGUUAAAGUUUUGCCCAAUUUAAUUGCUAUGUAGAGAUCAUAAAAGUGUUUAGCUGUUGACAUUUCUAAUGCAGUAACAGAAUUGCCAUUUCAAAUGGCGGUUGAAUGUGAGAAUACCAUGUUUAACUGGUUUAGUAAUGUUUUUAAGUUUGUUGUUGGGGUAUGUAUAUAUUGUGAGUAGAUAGAUGGUCUUAAUUGUUUAGUGUGCAGAUCAGUAGAUGAAUGGUGAGAACUCCUAGUGCUUAUGGCAGCAAUUUUUUUGUUCUUUGCUGGAUUUAUGGACUUAUUUUGUCAAUGUUGGGCUUAAGUAUAGAGAUCUGAUUCAUGCUCAAUCUGUGCAGGACUUUUUUAAACGUUGCAAUGACAGAUAUGAAUCAGCAUCCAACUGUUUUCCAGAAGGCAGCUAACCAGCUGCACUUGCGCUCUAGUCUAUCCCAAGAUGUCCAUGCUCGCUAUGGGGGCGUUCAGCCUGCUAUCUACCAGAGGCAUUUUGCUUAUGGCAACUACUCCAAUGCUGCUCUGCAGAGAGGCCAAGCCACUCAGGAUCUAUCAUUGAUCACCUCAAAUGCCUCACCUGUGUUUGUGCAGGCUCCUCAAGAGAAAGGAUUUGCAGCUUUUGCCACUGACUUUCUCAUGGGUGGAGUUUCUGCUGCUGUAUCAAAGACCGCUGCUGCCCCUAUUGAGCGUGUGAAACUAUUGAUCCAAAAUCAAGAUGAGAUGCUCAAGGCUGGUAGGCUGUCAGAACCAUACAAGGGAAUUGGCGAUUGUUUCGGGAGGACAAUUAAGGAAGAAGGUUUUGGGUCUUUAUGGAGAGGAAACACUGCUAAUGUUAUCCGUUAUUUCCCCACUCAGGUUUACCAUUUGUCUUCAUUUUGAGGGAUGAAAUUUAUACAUCAAAGAUAUAUGCACAUUUAUUGUUCUGUUGUUUGUUUAAGUUGAGCAUUGACUGACUGAUGCUCUGCUCCACAGGCCCUGAACUUUGCAUUCAAGGACUACUUCAAGAGACUCUUCAACUUCAAGAAGGACCGUGAUGGCUACUGGAAGUGGUUUGCUGGAAACCUUGCAUCAGGAGGUGCUGCUGGUGCUUCCUCUUUGUUCUUUGUCUACUCCUUGGACUAUGCUCGUACCCGUCUUGCUAAUGAUGCCAAGGCUUCAAAGAAGGGAGGCGAGAGGCAGUUCAAUGGUUUGGUUGAUGUCUACAGGAAGACACUCAAAUCUGAUGGAAUUGCUGGUCUAUACCGUGGAUUCAACAUUUCAUGUGUUGGUAUCAUUGUUUACCGUGGUUUGUACUUUGGAAUGUACGACUCCUUGAAGCCUGUCCUCUUGACAGGAAACCUGCAGGUUAUAUGUUUGCUUUGCUCUGCUUUUUCAUGUCUUUAUACUUCUCUGGAUGUUAUCUCUGCUGUGUCUUACCAAAAUGUUGUUAGUCUUUACCAUUUUGUUGGCUGUAUAAAUGCAUCAUUGUUUUCGUGUUGGAGAAGCCGAUGUUUAGAGCUUGCUGUGGGAGAGUGAUAAGAAUUCAGUAUUUGUCAUUAAAUAUUGUCAAUUUCUGCUAAUUUUUCAUCUUCCUUGAUUUGUUUGCUAGAAAAUAGAUAAUUGUAAUUGAUUUUCUCCUGGGAAGUUAAUAUGGAUAUGGAUAAAUAAAUGUUUUAGUAUAAAAAAACUAUAGUGUCUGACCCUUGUUAUGGUGCUGUAUACAGGAUAGUUUCUUUGCUAGCUUUGCACUUGGUUGGCUCAUCACCAAUGGUGCUGGUCUUGCUUCUUACCCCAUUGAUACAGUAAGAAGAAGAAUGAUGAUGACAUCUGGUGAGGCGGUGAAGUACAAGAGCUCGCUUGAUGCAUUCUCCCAGAUUGUUAAGAAUGAGGGUCCCAAAUCUCUGUUCAAGGGUGCUGGUGCUAACAUCCUCCGAGCUGUUGCUGGUGCUGGUGUGUUGGCUGGAUAUGACAAGCUUCAGGUUCUUGUUUUGGGAAAGAAAUACGGAUCUGGUGGUGCCUAAGUCAGCCUCGUAACAUCCUUUAGAAUUUAGAUGGUGAUGAAAAUCUUUUUGGUGUUACAUUUGAGUAUUCAGUUGGGGAGACAAUUAUCAUUAUUCCUUUUGCCUUUUUUUUUGUAAUAAUUCGAAAAAUCUUAGAGUGGGUCAAAGCUUAAAAACCCCACACUCGUUUCCCUUGUUGAAGGGUUAUUACUGUUUUGUUUGGGCGGACCUUAUUUCAAUUGCAGAGCUUACAGAUUCUGAAUGAAUCUUUUGAUAAAAUCAAAUGCGGAUCAGUUUGGUACUUGUGUUAUUUUAAGUGUGGUAUACAAUAUUAAGCAUGCGUACAUUUUCUUUUUUUAUUCAACUUGACACAUUUUAUUUUGUUGUGGCA
rnacentral:lncRNA from 1 species